rnacentral:lncRNA from 1 species
GUGUGCGUGUGGGUGCGUGUGGGUGCGUGUAUCUGUGUGUGUGUGUGUGUGUGUUUGUGUGUGUGUGUGUGUGUUUGCUUGUGUGCGUGUGGGUGCGUGUAUCUGUGUGUGUGUGUGUGUGUGUGUGUGUGUAUGUGUGUGUAUGUGUGUGUGCUAAGUAUUACCUUUUUACCUAUGCAUACAUAUGUAGAAAUUAUAUGUACCGUACCGUUGCUUUUAUCAUCAUCGCCACUACCAUCAAUCACAACACCGCCACACUAACAACAACAUACGUGUGUUCGCGUACGCAUACAAACGAACAUACACACACUCACAUACACACAGAUUCCACUACGUUCACCACCACCACCACCACCACAACCACCAUCAGCGCAAACACGCACACACUACAAUACUCUCUCAGACCGACCAAUCGACAGACAGGCAGACUGACUGACGACGCGAAAGACAGCCGACCAUGAGCCAAACACGCCGUUCGUAGUAGACUCCAGUGCAACUUCCACCUUGGUUCUUAUUCUUCAAUCUUUCCCUCUUCCUCUUUUUUGUUUCUGUCUCUCUGUAUCUCUCCCUGCCUUUUCCUCGUCGCUUCUGACUUCUCUCACGUACUCGCUUCUUCCUCAAUUUCUUUCUUACUCCCAAUAAUUUUUUUUUCUUUAUUAUUAUUAUUUUUUUUUUUUUUUGCCUUUUAUUAAUUUCUGAUUCCUCUUCCGUUAUUGCUUCCUUGUUCUUUCAUUCAUUUCCAUUUUUUUUAUAUAUAUCUUCGUUAAGAAGAAGAAGGAGAAGAAGAAGAAGAGGAUGAAAAAAGUUUUAUGUUAUUCUUAGUUUUGUCUUAACACUCGGAGGUGUUUUACUCUUUGGAAGACAAUAUAUACACACAUUCAUAUUCAUACAUAUACACAUACAUAGGUUAGUACGUACAUACACGAACACGAACACUUACACGAGCCACACACCGGCUAUAUAUACAUAUAUAUAUAUAUAUAUAUAUAUAUAUAUAUUAACGUUUCACUUUAUACAGUUUUAUACAUUGAUGAACAGAUAAAUUGCCACUGAGCAAGGACUACUCGCUCUGUCUCUCUCUCUCUCUCUGUCUGUCUCUCUCUCUCCUACUCUCUCUCUCUAUCAAAAUACCUAUUUAUCUACCUACGUAUUGUGUGUGCAUUGUCAUAUAUAUAUAUAUAUAUAUAUACACAUAAACAUACAUGCUUACAUAGUUCUGCAUGAGUUGCAGCACAGCGAAAUAAUCAUUUCUUCGUAAACUAAUAGCGUCCUUGUCUCCCCAUUUGACUUCCUUACUCUGUCACUUCCAUUUUCUCCUCCACUAUUCCCUCUCUUCCCCACUGUAUAUAUAUACUUACAUACACACAAACACACACACACACAUACACACACAUAUAUAUAUAUAUAUGUUCUUACAUAGAAAGUAAUAUAAUCACUUAUUGCAGUUUAAUAUCUCCAUAAUCACUUUCACUUCUUCUUCUCGUUCUCAUCCUUAUAAACAUCAUCAUUAUUAGAACCACUUAAACAACAGGCGUCAGUCACCGCGCCACCACUAUGAACACCACCAUCACCACCUCCACCACCUCCACCACCACAACCAACAUCAGUUCUUUCAGUAUCAUCAAAUUUCUCGCUUCUCCGUAAUGGGUGAACGGACGGUAAUUUUUAAAUUCAUCAGCGAGACGAGGACAAAAUUUACCGGUUGACUACCUCAUGUAAAAAUCUGUGCAAAGGACUGGACGAAAGAAUGGAACGCAGCAUCUGAAUAUAUAACAGGUAAGAUGUGAAACGUGUGUGUACCGGUGUGUGUAUGAGGUAGAUAUCGAAAGUGAGAAAGAGAGUGGUUGGGAUAUGGUGCAGAAGCUGUGGUGUGCAAUGAAAAAAAAAAAAAAGCUCGUAUGUAAGACAGUAUGAGAAGGUAAGAGAGUGAAUGAUAGACAGAAGUAAAUACAACUAAGAACAAUACGUAUACAUGUGUGUGUGAGUACCUAUAACGAAUGUAUUAUUUGCAACUUUGUGUUUUGUAAUAGAUUUAAUCAUUAUUUUAAAACUGCUGUACGCGUUGCCGACCCAGGACGUAUAACAGAUAACUAUCGAUCUCAGUUAAAUUCGAACUUACGUUGUACGGGAGCGUAAAAGUAAAUAUUGCAAACUAAUCGAUCAACUAGUUUUCUUUCAAUGAACAAUACGUGUCUUCUCAUAAAAUUAGUACUCUCUUCCUGUAAAAAAGUAUCAUUUCAAAUACAAGUUAUUUAUAAAUAUUAUUAUGGUUGUUUAGAACACUGAAAGAUAUCCUUAAUUUGCGUUUGUAUACAAAUAAUAUGAUUCAUUCAUAUCUAAUAUUUAAGACAGCGAAUGAAUAUUUACUUGGUCGUUCGACCUAGAAAUAGCAACCAAAUCUUCCUGAAAUCACAACUUACAGUCUUAGAAAACCGUGGACACUUUAGAAAAAAAAAAUGUUGUUAUAUCAACGCAGGGAUAAUUAGAUAAAAAAAAAUUUAGAAAGAUCAGUGGUUGAAUAAUAUUGAUCAUAUAGUAACAAAACAAAAACAAUUAAUAAUUUAUUUGGUCAUAAUAACAUUUUUGAUAAACUAAAUUUAAAACUAGUCGUCUGUGUUCACCGCAGAUGGAAAGCUUUGUACUUGUGCGUCCAGUCCAAAUAAACAGAAUAUGGGCUGAGAAUAGAAGCAGGUUGUCGACGGUAUCUACCAUAUAAUGCAUUUCAUAACUCCAGGUUCUGCGUUUGAAUAUCCCUAUGGUUGGACCCUGCAUUUUAUGUCACCGGAAGGCGUGUGACUAAGUGGUUAGGGAAUUCGGCUCCAAACCCGGUGGAGGGUUAAGUUCUCGAACAAAACACUUUAUUUCACAUUGUUCUAGUCAACUCAGCUUGCAAAAUUCAGUUGAACUUGUAAUUCAAAGGGCCAGCCUUGUUACCUUCUGUGUCACUCUAGUCUCCUUGAGAACUAUGUUAAGGAUAUGCGUGUUUGUGUGGUUCUUAGUCAGGUGUAUGUUAAUUUCAUUUGAAUGUUGUUUUGUUGACGGAAUCAACUGGACCCUUGUCGUCAUAAUCGAUUGAGUGCCAGUAGUGUCACCGGAACCAACAUCAGGCAAACAGUAUGCUAACCAUGACGAAGAGCAUAAUUUUUUUAAUGAAUUUUUAUUGUUGCGACAAAGCGCGGAAAAAAAAAAGAAGUUGCAUUAACCAGUUGCGUUGCUUUACAACGCUAGUUCAAACCCUACCAUAGCGAACUUUCUGUUAUAUUUCUCUGGAGUAAAUAAGUUACAGACAAGUACAGACGUCAAUUUAAUAAAGUGUUAUCCCCCUCCACCGAAAAUGUGUAUCUAAGCUUUUGCAAAAAAAAAUCACUAAUUAAGGGCGGUGGUAAGCUCUAUCGGGAGAACUAGAGAUAAAAUGGGUUGCAGUAUUUAGUUUAUUCGGUAUACGUUCUGAACGAAAAUAAACGCAUUUUUUUUUUUUUUUUUGACAAAAUGUAAAACAAACAAGUAUACGUGGAUUUCUACUCGACCCUUCCUGACUACCACACAGUACGAAUUGAAUGGAAACACUAGACUGAUAUAUCAGUAUUUUUCCCCAUUCCACCACUCAGUUUAUCACACAAAUAUGUGUGUAGCAAUAUGUAUGUCUAUAUGUAUAUAUACAUCUUAUGUAUUGAUGUAAAUAUACAUGUGUGAGUCUGUUCGUGUGUAUGCGUGUAUAUAUAUGCAUUUAUGUAUAUUCAUAUAUAUAUAUAUAUAUAUAUAUAUAUAUACAUAUAUAUAUGAAUAUACAUAAAUGGAUAUAUACACGCAUACACACAGACAGACUCAUAUAUAUAUAUAUAUAUAUAUAUAUGUAUAUAUAGAUAGAUAUAUAGAUAGAUAUAGAUAUAUACACAUACACACACACAUAUAUAUUAUAUAAGUGUAUGUAUAUGUGUGUGUGUGCGUAUAAUUGAUUAACAAUAGUAAUAGUAAGCAAUUUACGUAUAUUAUUGUAUAUACAAGGCAAUAGAACAAAAUGCAAGUUUUUAACAUUUUCCAGUGUAUUCAAUAAAAAUAAACCAUUGUGAUGGUAACUUUCAAAUAUAAUAUAUCGUAAUCAAUGUUUACUAUGGAAAUCAAUGUUGGUGCUAACUUUUUAUUUUCUUUUUAGCAACAGAUUCUUCUAAGCAAUUAUUAAUUUGUCUUAAAUUUUGAAUUUAAAAAAAAAUAUUCUUUCAGCUUCUUAUGUUAAAUAUAUUUUGUGCUUCAAAAUAAACGAUUAGCUGAGACAGAAUAAAUGUUUUUUGUUUCCUACUUAUAACUUCAUCGUUGCUUUUUAAAAGUUUUCUUCAACAUUUUUUAAAAAAAUUCAAUGUCUUCUGUCAAGCACACAAAAGCUAUCAGGCGUUACAAAUCUGUUUCUUAGUAGAGACAAUGCAUUGUGUUGUCAUACAAUUAAUUGUUCUUCGGAUUCUUGUAAUGUUUCUGUCGACAGAUCUACGUUAGUUCACGGCUGCACCACGUUCUAUUGAACUAAUUUUCAUUGCACUUUUUGAAAACAUAUUAACUAGUUAAGGUAUUUACUCUUUCAUUUUGUUAAUGCCAAAUUUUAGCAAUUAUAUUUAAUGAGAAAUACGCGUAUACUUCUUACAUAAAGACGUAUAAUAUUUGUAGACAGAGCAUUUCUUUUGUUUGUGUUUCAGCAAAGUAGAAUAAAGGAACAAAACGAAAAACAAAUUUUAUAAAACGGCGUAUUGUGUGGGUAGGAGUGCAUGCGAUUGUGUAUACACACGUGUGCACGCUCUCACAUUCACUCAUAUACAUACAAACAUACAUACAUACAUAUAUGUAAACACAUGUUUUGAAUUUUCGAUAUAUUUUAUGACUGCUUUGUUUUAAGCAAUGUAAUUUAAAAUCGAAGUAGUCAGUAGUAUAUAACAUUCAAUACUACAUUAAAACACAGCUUUGCCCAUAACCUCUAAUGGCCGCGUAACUACACCGGACUAAUAGCACAACGAGCCGUCUCAAGUUGUUAUCUGUGACGGUUGUUAGAUUCCAGUUGUGCUGCAUUCUCAAGCUUAAAAUGUAUCAGUAACCGCUGUAAUGCUAUAAUAACGUUAACAGUAAUAUAUAUAUAUAUAUAUAUAUAUAUAUAUAUAUUGCUGACAUUUCUAAGACUGUGAUUUGGCAGGAUCGUUAACAUAUCGAAAAUAUGUAUGAGGCAUUUGUCUCGUGUAUUGAGUUCAAAUCACCCUAAGGUCAGUUUUAUUGACCUCUCUGAGGUCGACAGAACGAAGUGCCAGUGAAGUACUUGGAUUGAUAUAAUCGACUUAACACAUUACUCAAAGAUGAUACAUGUGCCUACGUUAGAAACUAAUAUUCCUGUAUUCUGAAAGUAUGUAUGUUUGUUUUCUUAUAUCUAUUGUGGGAUAUCCUUUGCGAAAUCCUAGUUCAGCUCUGCUGCUUUUAGGAAAGUAAAUCCAGAACAGAAAUGAACAGAUGCAGUACCCGUUCCACCAAUCCACUAAGUACGCUCUUAACGUUUUUUUUUUCUCACUGGUUAUUCCAGAGCAGAAUUUGUGGUUUUGUGCUUAAAGGAAACCGUUGCUAAUAUUUCCGUUAUAUUCGGUUUUUAUAGUUAUCGUCCGCCUUAGCAUCGAUCUCUGUAGUUAAUGUACAUUUUUAUGUUGUUGUUUACUCUCUGAAAUCUGAUCGAGUAGAUUUAUGAUAAAAUACCUUUUUACCAAGAAAUGUCCAUGUUUUUAACACCUACAUACUUCUCAUAAUUUAUUAUCCAAGUUUAUAAAGACGGCAGAGUGUGAUCAGAAAGAUACUUCUUCGCCAUUUCUUGUCGGACAAGGGACAGAGGAAAACGUUCUUUCGGGUUUCGAUAGUGCAGUUGACUCAGCUACAAUCUCAUUAACUUUAUAUUAUCGGUAGAGUGCAACAAAUAUAAUAGCUAUUUUUCUUGCUGUUGCUGCUCGUGAGUAACCCCCAGCCCGGCUCACAUGAAGUACACUUAUGACCAAGGAAUUCUAGACAUACCAAUCCAAUGUUUCUUCCUUAGGUAUAGAACUUAGAACCACCUUAUCUAUAUUUCUCUCGAAGGUUUGAGCUCAAAUUUGAGGUUGGUUUGUUUGCUAUUUUCAGCGGACUAAUUGACCAAUAGAUAACUUCCGUUAGAUUACAAUAUUAGUAUUGUUUAAAAGCGAUGGAUCUUAGAUUAGGUAGGACUCCGUACAAAAAGUCUUGCUAUGUGUAGUCAUUCUUCCUAACGUUUUGAAUUCAAAUCCCAUCAACUUCAACUUUGAUCGCCUUCCUUCCAGGAUCGAUAAAAUAAUUUUCAGUUAAGUAUUGAUCUCCAUUAAAAUGUUUUUAAAUGUAUAUGACCUUAUAUCUACGCUAAAAAAAAUCAAUAAUAUAAGUAUUGUUAAUUUUUAACUAGCGUAAACCUUUAUGUGGAUUUAUGAGCUUUGGACAGUUUCAUACCAUGCAAGAGGAAUUGCAAUAUAUUGUUGUUCCAAAGAGAUUAACACAUCAGCGUCAUUUUCCUCGUACUUAUUGUUCUUCUCCACUUCACGAUCAUGAACAAAGCCAUAAGAGUUACGAUUCAGAGUCACAUAACUGUUAUAUAAAGUAACAGUGGAGGCGCAAUGGCCCAGUGGUUAGGGCAGCGGACUCGCGGUCAUAGGAUCGCGGUUUCGAUUCCCAGACCGGGCGUUGUGAGUGAUUAUUGAGCGAAAACACCUAAAGCUCCACGAGGCUCCAUCAGGGGAUGGUGGUGAUCCCUGCUGUACUCUUUCACCACAACUUUCUCUCGCUCUUACUUCCUGUUUCUGUUGUACCUGUAUUUCAAGGGGCCGGCCUUGUCACCCUCUGUCUCACGCUGAAUAUCCCCGAGAACUACGUUAAAGGUACACGUGUCUGUGGAGUGCUCAGCCACUUACACGUUAAUUUCACGAGCAGGCUGUUCUGUUGGUUCGGAUCUACCGGAACCCUCGUCGUCGUAACCGACGGAGUGCUUCCAUCCAUAUAAAGUAACAGCAUACAUAUGUGUGUGAGUGUGUGUGUGUGUGUGUGAGGUAUUCAUGUAUGUGUGUGUAUAUACAUAUAUAUAUAUAUGCUGUGUACCAACAUUUGUACUGACUUUGCUCCAUUACUCAUGCGAGACAUGGUUCCUUUAUAAACGACAUGUAAGGGUCCUUGAACGAUCUCAUGAGAGAUAUCUCAGACACAUUCUGAACGUUGACUGGACCUUAAAAACUCCAGACACUCAGGUCCUGAGAACAGCUGAUAUCUUGAGUAUUGAGGCGAUGGUGCACAAGCACCGGUUACGUUAGACUGGACACCUUAUUAGAAUGAAGGAUAGCAAGAUCCCUAAGCAAAGGCUAUAUGGGGAACUUGUGAAUGGACAAAGAGCUCGGCAGAAUCCAAGGCUGCGAUGUAAGGACUGUGUCAAGUCCUCAUUAAAGGCCUGUGAUAUGCAGGAGACUGACUGGAGGAGCAAUGCCUGUCAUCGCCAAAGAUGGAGGAAGCAGGUUAAGGAGUGGGUCGAUAUUUUUGGGAGAGCACGUAUUCUGCAUGAAGAACUUAAACGUGCUGCUCGAAAGCGCACUGCUGGUGUAGUGAAUGGGGAAAGCUUGGUUUGCAAUGUAUGCUUGUCUAGAGCAGGGCUCAUUAGCCACCAACAGAGCUGCAAAAGCAAAAUAUAAGUUAGUCCUAGAGCGCACAAUGUUCCUGAAGGUCAGCAAUGGUUCUCCUCGGUCAUGAGUGGGCGGCCAUGAUAUGUAUGCCAGUGUAUAAAUAUAUAGGAUAUAAAUAUGAAGAAAUACAUACUCACUCACACAUAAACACACACACACACACACACACACACAUAUAUAUAUAUAUAUAUAUAAUGUUAUCCCAUUUUACAGUUUAUUAUGCCUAAAGUGCAUCGUUAUUGUUUAUGUUGUAGCUUUGGGGUUUUGUAACUUAAAAGUCCAACAAAGAUCUAUAAAUAAGAAACAGACUGAAAUGAUUAUUGUUAUUGAGACAAUUCAUUAAAUACAUUCAAGCUGGUGCACCAUCAUGGUUUUAUAUUUCUAAAUGAAUUCUAUUAAAAAGUAACAUAAACUCACUAUAUAUGUAUAGAGUUGGGAGAUAUGUAUGCGGUUAGUUAUCCAAUCGACCCACUGAUUACAGCUCUUGUAAUUAAAAUUAUAAAUCUUACCUCGACAAGCACGAAGCCUACACAGAAAUCGGAUAUUGCGUUUACAAACGUGUAGAGGUUUGAUUGAAUAAGCAUGACUAUUUUUUCCACGUAGAUGCAACGAAAUAUUCACCUGGACAUAAUUGUAUAUUAGUCGUAUGAACACACCUUCAUGUUUGGAAGGGUCCUUUUGACAUAUGCUAAAAGCAGUGCAUGUGUGCAAGCCCACGCCCGAAAAAAGACUUGAAUAAAAAUCUAGAAUACCAGUAAUCAAAAGACAACACAUAAUUUUCCAUAGUUAUUAAUUUAACUAAUAAUAUUCGUUUGUAAAAUUAUAUGCAACUAAGUGUUUUGAUAUUGGUUAACGAUGACCAGGGUCGAUCCGAUCAAAGAACAGCCCGCUCCUGAAAUUAACGUGCAAGUGGCUGAGCACUCCAUAGACACGUGUACCCUUAACGUAGUUCUCGGGGACAUUCAUCGUAACACAGAGUGUGACAAGAGAAAGAGUGAGAGAGAGAGUUGUGGUGAAAGAGUACAGCAGGGUUCGCCACCACCCUCUGCCGGAGCCUCGUGUAGCUUUUUAAGUAUUUUUGCUCACUAAACACUCACAACAUCCGGUCUGGGAAUCGAAACCGCGAUCCUACGACCGCCAGUCCACUUCCCUAACCACUGAGCCAUUGCACCUUCAUUUUGAUAUAACCUUCAAUAAAAUAUAUUUUUCUGACUAUCCAUGUUUAAAUGUACAGAGGUAAACAGCACAGGAACGCUAAGAGCAUGUCCUUGUUUACGGUUACAGUUGGAAACUACUUUCACUUCCAAAGCGAAAUUAUUGAACGAUGUAUAAUUCAGAUUAGUCUAUGCAUAAUGUGUUUGUAGUUGUUUUGAACAUCGUAAAAAAAAACACUAUUAGUAUGAAUGUUUGAUCAGAAACACUAGAUUUUAUAUUAAAUUCAGGUUGUAUUUCGGUUCGUGCUUCUAAACACAUAUUUUGAAUUGCAGAAGAGUUAUCAGGGAUUGCAAUCCUUUACACGUUAACACAACAUAUAUUACGUAAGUCGAAGAGUCGAUUCAGCGGGAUUAUAUCUCUCUAUAUAUAAACGGCAGUUUGUCUGUGUGCGUGUCUGUGUGUCUGUCAGGUUGUACCCUCACCCUGACCACGGCUUUCAACCGAUUCUGAUGAAACUUGACACACACAUAGCCCAAUGUCCUAAUUCAAAACUAACGCAGCGAAAAUUUUGAAAAGUUCCCCCAGUUCUGAAAAAGAUCGAUAAAUUCGACAUGGGGUCGAGAUUCAGAAACACAAACCACAGAUGGUCUAGGGGACGCAACUCGACCUUUUUAACUAUCAAAAAAAAAUUUACCAUCAUUUUUUUCCCCAUUUUUUUCUAUUUUUUGGCUAUAACUCUCUAAAAAUGCUUUAUAGUUAUUUCCCUUACAAACCCGAGCAACGCCGGGCGAUACUGCUAGUCUGGGAAUAAACAUGAAGUCUUGCAACAACAAUGGCACGUUGAUUUCCACGGGAAAUAUCAAUCAGAGAUUACUGACAUCUCAUUAUCGUCAAUUUCUAAUUACCGUCAAAUAUAAUCACACAAAUACACAUAAACACACACACUCACACACAUAAACACACACACACACACACACACAAAUUGAGGAAAUUGCAAUAAACCUUUCCAUAUUAUAUGGCAUUUAAAAUAUAUUUUAUUAAAAGCCAAAUCUAAGUGAUUCGCUCCUCGAAAUUUUUCAUUGCUACCUCACUUUUGACUAAGGGCGAGAAACAAAAUACUCUAUUUCCCUUACAUACAGAUGCAACACAAAAUAUAUGGCGGGAGGGUUUAUGAAGAGUUAAGUACAUUCUUUGUAUGUCUUUGAUGUAUAGAAUUAAUUUCGGUACGUAUUCUGGAAAUAUCUGGCAAAAUAUUACGAAAGUGUACGUCAAAAGAUUUCCACCCCGUUUUUUUUUUUUUUGACACGUUAUUACCAACGACACUUAAGGGGAGAGGAAAACAAUAAAUGAGGGAGGGGAAAGAAGAAAGAGUGUGUAACAGAGAAUGGAAAGCUGCAGAGUUUGAGAAAAAGUGAGAUCAGACAGUAGAUAUUAAUCACAUACCAUUAGUGCCAUCCAAUAAUUCACAUUCAUGGACAUGGAAACAUACAGAAAUACAUACACAUGCGCACGGGCAGACACAUCGAAAUACACACAGACACUCACUAACACAUUCAUUCAUAUACUCAAUCACAGACGCAUUUACACACACAUACACAUAUAUAAUAUAUAACAGUGGUGCCCCACCAUGACCACAGCUUUCAAAUUGAGACAAUUUAAAAAUUAAAAUAUAUAUAUGUAUGUAUGUAUAUAUGUAUGUAUGUAUGUAUGUAAAGGGGUAAAGACCCCCUUCGGUCAUGAAUGACCAUGGGAUUGCACCUAAAAAGUUACCCUCCUAGACACAAGUCCGGGCAAGGUUGUUUAUGGAAGACCAGCAGUCGCCCAUGCAUACCAGCCUCCCCUCUUCACGCCACUGAUGUUAUCCAAGGGAAAGACAAAGGUCGAUACAGCUUGGCACCUGUGACGUCGCAACUCAUUUCUACAGUUGAGUGAACUGGAGGAACGUGAAAUAAAGUGCCUUGCUCAAGAACACAACACGCAGCCUGGUCCGGGAUUCGAGCUUACAACCUCACGAUCGUAAGCUCGACGCUCUAACCACUGAGCCAUGCGCCUGUAUGUAUAGGUAUAUGUAUAUGUGUAUGUAUGUAUGUGUGUAUGUAUGAAUGUAUGUAUGUAUACUUGUGUAUAUGUAAGUAUUCAUAUGUUGUAUAUAGGUAUUUUUGUAAUUAUGUUCUAUUUUGGGUAUACCUCACAGAUUAGGCUAGUUAUAUUUUUAUACAGAGUCAGAAAUCCGGCUCUGGAGUUAUUCAGUAAUUUUUGCUAGUCUAUCUGUGUAUAUAUCUUUCCAUGUUAUGGUGUAUGAAUACAUGAUGUAGUUGUAGAGUCAGGUUUUGACUGCUAUCUCUAGCAUGUCGGUAUCUCUUAAAUACCCUUAAUUAUAAUUUUAGAAUAAUUAUUACCCAUAAGGUUUUUCUUACCACUUGAUAUGAUGGUUACUUUAAAUAAGUGUCUUAUCCUUUUAUACAGGAUAGGGACCGGGGUAUACGAUGAAAGUUAGGAACAUUGUUGGUUUAUUGAGACGGAGUAUUGCAAAUAAUUUUUCGUUUAUUGAAGAACAAUUAGCUGAAAAAUGUCCUUAUUAUAUUCCUCGUUAGGAAACCAGGUUUACCGAGUGUGCAAAAAGAAUACAAAAGUUAUGGAAUGGAGUAUUGAGAAAACAGGGCUGCAUAAGUUUCAUAGCGAGUGAAACCCCAGGAGUGCUAAAAUCGAGGGAAGAUGCAUACCACUUAAAGGCCAAGGAUAUCUUGAUUACAUUAUCUAAUCAAGAUUAAUUAAUCAUAUCAAUAUAUCCUUCGCCUGAAGAUUAGCCGGAGGUAUAAACCUAAACACCACACUUGGAUUUUAUCACUUCUGAUGUUCCACUCAAUAUGAAAUACGUGUGGUCCGGAUUUCUGAUACAUCAUUCCAUAACUCCUACUUAUACAUUCUUUUCUUUCUUGUAUUCUUUUAUUUGUUUCAGUCAUUCAAAAUUGACCCCAGUACUUAUUGUUUGUAAGCAUAGUACUUAUUCUAUCGUUCAAUUUUGCCGAACCGCUAAGUUACGGAGACAUAAACACACUAACAUAGGUUGUCAAGCGAUGGUGGACAUAGACACACAAACAUAUACAUACAUACAUAUAUACAUAUAUAUAUAUACUUAUAUAUACAUAUAUAUAUAUAUAUAUAUAUAUAUAUAUAUAUAUAUAUAUAUACAUAUAUAUAUAUAUAUAAAUGACGAGCUUCUUUCAGUUUCCGUCUAUCCACUCACAAGUGUUUGGUCGGCUCGAGGCUAUAGUAGUAGACACUUGCUCAAGGUGUCACACAGUAUAUAUAUGUGUGUGUGUGUAAGAAGAUAUGUAUAUAUGUACGUAUGUAUGUAUAUAUGCAUGUAUGUAUAGAUAUAUAUACGUAUAUAUGUAUGUAUGUAUGUAUAUAUAUAUAUAUAUAUAUAUAUAUAUAUAUAUAUAUAUAUAUAUAAGUAAAAAAGAGAGGAAAAGAAAUCCUUCAAAGGGCUGUGCUAAUUAUCCAAUUCACUGGUAUGUCAGUUGGAUACCAUAUAAAUAUUGGUAUAAUUCAAUUAUAAAGAUAAAUUAAAUAUAGAGAUAUACUAUUGACAAUCCAAUAAUUUAUUUAUAUUACAAUAUUACAUUAAAUACUAUGAAUAUAAUAUAACAAUUUUAUAUUACAUGAACAAUUAUAAAAACCAUAAACGGCCAACAAAUUGUUUCGACUUAUAUUAUCUUUUUUACAUAUACACGUAAUCACAGUUCUCUUAUAUAUAAAGUCACUUCAUAGUCAUAGUUUAGAUAAAGACGUAAUUCUGUAUGAAACGACGGAUGGAUUAUAAAAAUUAAUUCAAAUGUCUAUGUAUUAUGAGCGCAAGCAUUAACUAUUCAAUCAUACGUCAGUUAGAAUUUAAAAAAAACAACAAAAGCAUUUCAACGGACGAUACAAUCAACUAAGUGUAAUCCACAACCAUCGAAAUUCACUUCAUUAUGUCUCUAACACAUACCAAUUAAAACGCUUUCAUGUCCAAGAUCGUCGCUUAUCGCCACAACAUACAACAAUAAGGGUGUAUAUAAAUGUAUAUAAUUAAGUAUGUAAGUCUUCCACGUAUAACUGCAUAAAAAAUAUAUACAGGCCAUGUCUAACUUCAUAGCAUCACCUUUUGAUUUCUUUUAGUCAUAUAUGGGGCACUCUUGCAAAAGGUUAUGAUUGUUGGAGACAUAGUCGAGUGCAGGAGGUUGGUCCCGGAUUUUCUGAAGAAAUUUGUCCUGUGAACAUUGGAAAUGUAUGGGAUCCGUUUCCAUUUUGACGUAGUUUGGUAUGGUACUGUAAGAGAGCUGCGGUUGAGGCAAAGUAAUUGUGGCGUGUUGUUGCUAUGUGUCCUGAGUUCGUUUUUUUGUAGUGGGCGGAUAGCAUGGGAGCCAAGUCUUCGAUAGAUUUUAAAAUUAAUGACUUCAUUUGUGCAAUAUUGAUGGAAUAUUUUUCACGUCACAGAAAUGAUUUAAUGCUCCCGGUGGCAUUGGAGAGAGUAGAAACUGAGUUUUUUAGUCGACACAAAUUGCCAUGCCGUCUAUCUUUCUUGUUAUUGAUCUCUGGAGUGCUUCAACUUUCAUAAUCAGUUGCUUCUUUUAGGGAGACCACAGUGAGAAACAGUAUUCAAAGUGGGGUCGGGCAAAAGUUGAGUAGAGAAUGAUGAUGGUGUAGGAAUCUCAGAAUGCAGGAGCACAUCUUGUGGUCCAAGUCAACCUUGCUAUUUACGUGAGAAUUCCAGCUUAGAUUGCUUCCAAAAAUUACUCCAAGGUCUCUGGUGUUAUUCGAUGGCACUAGGGAGCCACACGAGGAAAAAGAAUAUGGUAAUUUCAGAGUAUCCUCUUUUCCAAUCAAACUUAUAUUCAAUUAGAAGCAUAUUGAUAUUUUCUGUCCAUUGGACAACAACAAACAGAUCCAACUGAAGGCAUGUUCGGUCCCCUAUGCCACUUAUGGCUUUCUGGAAUUUGGAAUAUUUUUCAAAGGUUUCCAAAGUAGAAUGUCUGAUGACAUCUACUAUGUCAUUCAUGUAGAUAAUGAAGAGGGGUGGGUCCAACAGAGUACUGACUUUGGCUGAGCUGGACCAUAUUCCCUCAAACACAACAUGUUGGGGUUUGUUCAUCAGGAAACACUUUAUCCACUGCAGCAGCUUUCCACGGGCUCCAAUGUAGGACAGUUUCUUCAUCAGGAUUUUGUGAUUCACUCUAUCGAAUGUGCCGUUGAAAUCAAGGUGCAUGAUGUCAGUUUUGGAACCUUCUCCCAACGCUUUUAAGAUGUAAUUAAAAUGGUGCAGAAGCUGUGACAGGCCGUCCCUGCCAUCGGGGGAACCAUGCUGGAGUUCAGCAGAUAGUUGUCUUCGAGUAGGUGGGUUAUUCGUGAUCUCACCACCCUCCCAAGUACUUUAAUGAUAUGCGAAUGUAUGUAUAUAUAUAUAUAUAUAUAUAUAUAUAUAUAUAUAUGCUACCAGAGAUACCUGGCGUUAUUCGGGAUUAAAUGUCAUAUUUUUUUAAUGUGAAUGAAGACAUAUUGCAGUACCGCCUUUAGUGGAAGAAAUCGAUACAAUAAUUUAUUUUUGUAAGCCUAGAAUAUAUUAUAUAGGAGUCUUAUUCUUAUGACAGCCUGUCUAUUAUUCUGUAUAUAUGACGCACACACAGUCACACAUGUUAACAUAUCAAUAAAUCUUCUCUUAAAACUUCUACUCGGUUGUUCCUCUUUUUUUCCCACUGGCACAUAUAUGCAUUAUUCUAUUUAUAUUUAUUGUAUCAACCGUGUGAUAUACUAAGUAGCCAUUCUCGUCACCUCACUUUGCACGGAUGUUACAAAUUGGUGACCCGUUCCAGCACCUUAAAACUACAAAACAAUUAUAAUGGUAUCAUAAAACUUUCAUUCCAUUAUAAAAUGGCUAAGUUACGAGGACGUUAACACAUCAACAUCGGUUAUCAAGCGAAGGUGGGGUACACACACACUCAUAUGUAUAUACACAUAUAUAUAUACACACAUAAAUAUAUAUAUAUCUAUAUACAUGCAUAUAAAUAUGCAUGUAUAUAUAUGUAUAUAUACAUGUUUACAUAUCUAUAUAAGCAUAUAUUUAUAUAUGUAUAUAUAAAUAUAUGUAUAUAAAGGUAUAUAUGUAUAUGCAUAUAUACAUUCAUCAAGAAACAAAAACACAGCCCUAACUUCAACAAAAGAGAAUGGAACGACCUCAUCAAACUAAGAGAAGACAAAACAAUAACAAUUAAGGAGGCAGAUAAGGGCAACGCGAUAGUAAUAAUGAAUACAAACGAUUAUAAAAAUUUAGUGCUAUCCCUAUUAAGAGAUGAAACGUAUUAUGAAAGGGCCCAACAGUAUAAUCAACAAAAAAUAAUGCAUAACCUUAGGACAUUAAUCAUCACAUACCAAGAAGGACUCACGAACAAGGAGUAUGAAUACAUCACUAACUUCAAAUGCAAAUCGAGUUUGUUCUAUGGUGUCCCUAAGGUACACAAAAGCCAAAUAAUUAGAGAAACGUGCAAAACAUCCACCGAUAUACUCAUCAAAAUCCCUUCACCAAAUGAUCUUAAACUAAGACCGAUAAUAGCAGGGCCAGCAUGUGAAACUCACCGCCUCAGCAAUUUCUUAGACACACUUCUUAAACCUUUCCUAAAACACAUCAAAAGCUACAUAAGAGACGAUAUAGAUAUGCUCAACCACCUCCCUAAAACAGUCAAUGAGAAAACCCUUCUAGUAUCAUUCGACGUAGUUAAUCUUUAUUCUAACAUCCCUCACAACCUAGGAAUAGAAGCGAUCACCUUCUGACUGAAUAACUACCCCUUUGAACUCCCAACUCGCAUAAACAAAGACCUUAUAAUAGAAGGACUUAGAUUUAUUUUAGAGAACAAUUAUUUUAUUUUUGACAAUGAUUUCUACAGACAAAGAUCGGGAACAGCGAUGGGCACGCGUACUGCACCAUCUUUUGCCAACCUAGUGAUGGGAUACCUCGAGAAAAUACUCUACCGGAUAACACUCGAGAAAUAUGGAAACACCUUCGCCACCUAUAUACAUAACAACUGGAAGAGAUACCUCGAUGACUGUUUCAUCAUCUGGGACAAAGGUAUAGAGAAACUUGAGGAAUUUAAAAUACUAUUAAAUGGAAUAAAUGACAAUAUACAAUUCACGAUGGAUCACAACGAAAAAGAAUUACCAUUUUUAGACAUCCUCAUUAAGAAAACCGGCAACAAAAUAGAGACAGAUAUCUACUAUAAACCGACAGACUCCAAACAGUACCUACCCUUUGAUUCAUGCCACCCACGACACACUAGAAUGAAUGUCCCUUUUUGUUUAGCUAGAAGGAUUUGCACCAUAAUAUCAGACACAAACACCCGACACACACGUAUCCAGGAACUUAGAACCACACUCACAAAUAGAAACUAUUCACAGCCCCUAAUAGACAGUGCAAUACAACGGGUACUUAAAUUAAGUAUAGAAGACCUGAGACAAACAAAACCAAAAAAGAAAGAACAAUUAAAAACCCUUCCCUACAUCUCUACACACAACCCACUCAACAAUGAGGCCUUCAACACCAUACUACAAAGCACAGCCCUACUAAAGGGAGACCCAAAGAUGAACCGGAUCCUCGAAACACACACCAUCAUUAAAAGUAAACGGCAACCAAAAUCCUUGAAAAGGAUUUUAACCCAAGCUACACUGCACUCAACAUCAACCACAAAACCAGCAGUUAGAAAAUGUGGAAGGCCCAACUGCGGAAUCUGUGUCAUCUUGAAAGAAGGAUCAGAAUUUAAACUGGAACAAGGCCACCAGUUCACCAUUAGAACAAACUUCACCUGCGCAUCAGAAAACUUAAUUUACGUCAUAAAAUGCGCAGGCUGCAAUAGGUAGUAUAUAGGCCAUACAAAAAAUAGCUUACGUAACAGGAUGGCGGUGCAUAAAUCACAAAUUAGAAACCCUGAUUACCGGAAAAUACCGGUCAGCGGACACAUAGAUAGAUGUGCUGGAAAUGUAAAUCCGAAAUUUUCAACUAACCCGCUCUAUAAAUUCAGUGACAACGCAACCUUCACGCAACGCCAAAAUAAAGAACUGUAUCUCAUAAAAAAAUAUAGACCAAGUUUAAACACCCUGGGCCAGGAAUAUUAAAACAAAAGAUAGGUCCUCCGAAAAGGAGAAGCAAAAUUCCACCACGGCCGCUACCUUAAACAGUCACUCGCACUGACGGAAAUAUGCCUUAGGAAAAAAAGGGAAAAAAAUUUAAAAAAAGAUUUCGUCGUACAAAUCUAACCCUGAUGGACUGACCACAUACGAUACAGCUAAGGGUCAGACCCGAUUCUGAUUGGUCAACACGUUGAUGACGUCUAGUUCUGCUAGACUGGACAGGAUACAGACAAGUGGCAGAGAUUAGUCAGAAUAUUGAUGACGUCCUUUUCUGCUUGACUAGUCACCUAACAAGAUACAGACAAGGGGCAGAUCUAAUACAGCUAUAAGUCGUGAUUGGUCAGAAUUUUGAUGACGUCCCGUUCUGCUUAACUAAGCCACCUAACGAAACGAUUGGUCAAAACAGGAUACAGACAAGAGGCAGUUAUAAUACAGCGAUAGGUCACGAUUGGUCAAAAUGUUGAUGACGUCCCGUUCUGCUUGACUAAGCCACCUAACGAAACGAUUGGUCAAAACGUUGAUGAUGUCACGCUACGCUGGACUGACCAUCUAACAGGUGUUAUAAAACCCGAGCAAUUCACAAGAUUCACCAGAAUCAUCCAGCGAACACCCACCAUUAGUCAUCACAGUUGUUCAAGGUAAAAAUGAAUUCCUCGCUCUUUCAGGAACAUCAAUUUUUUAUAUUGACUGCAUUCCACCACUUUGAUCUAUUUUUUAUAUAUCACCACCACGAACCACUGCAUCAUACACUUUAAACAUAUAGCAUGAACGAACUCACUUCAAACUAUACAUGAACUUUAUGAUGUCUGACUCCAUUGUGUAUUAUAAAUGAAUUUCUUAUAUUUUGAUAGCAUGAACUAUCUUUUUUUAUAUAUAACUUUUUUUGAUAAGGUUCAUUUCAGGAACUGAAACAUAUUAUAAUGUAUAUAUAAAAAUUAAAAAUUGUAUAAUAUAGCAGCAUUUUCGAACUUCAUUUUUUACAAAUAUAUAUAUAUAUAUAUAUAUAUAUAUAUAUAUAUAUAUAUAUAUAUAUAUAUAUAUAUAAUGAUAAGAGUAAAUAAUUUCUAUAAAGGCUUUUAAAAAAACCCCAAUUAUUUACUGGUAGAAUUCGGUAUGUAAAUAUAGCCGAUUACCGGCAGGAACUUCUGUAAAGUUCAGUAUAUAUAUUGUAUAUAAGAAAAAGGGACAGGCAAAACAGGUUGCUUGACCGCAUACCGAAAAAAUAGAAAUAGCAGUCAAGAAUGCUUAUUUCUAUCAAAGUUGGACUCCGGGCAUGACAGACCCUGUAAUUCACAUAUGCAAAACAGAAGGAAUAGAUAACGAAUACGAAGUCUGGCGGUUAUCUGUGAACAUCAUGUUUCUGGAUUAUAAACAUAUUGAAUAUAUAUUCCAUAUAUUUUUGAUAUAUAUUUCAUAUAUAUUGCAAAUAUAUUUCACAUCCUUCUUCAGCACAGCUUUCCAUUGAAAAAGAUUUAUCAUAGAUUUAUCAAAUGCUACGUACCUCAAACCUUCUGACCAUGCGACAUCAAAAUAUUUGAAGAAAGUGAGCAAAGGCUAAAUCUAUAUAGACGUUUGAAUUCAUAAAUCUUCCCUCCAAAAUUCUGCCAUGCGCAUUACAAAAAUAGGCUGUCAAAGGGAGUGAAAAAUCCAAAUAGUAAUAUAAUGAUAAGAGUAAAUAAUUUCUAUAAAGGCUUUUAAAAAAACCCCAAUUAUUUACUGGUAGAAUUCGGUAUGUAAAUAUAGCCGAUUACCGGCAGGAACUUCUGUAAAGUUCAGUAUAUAUAUUGUAUAUAAGAAAAAGGGACAGGCAAAACAGGUUGCUUGACCGCAUACCGAAAAAAUAGAAAUAGCAGUCAAGAAUGCUUAUUUCUAUCAAAGUUGGACUCCGGGCAUUUGCAAUAUAUUUGCAAUAUAUAUGAAAUAUAUAUCAAAAAUAUAUGGAAUAUAUAAUCAAUAUGUUUAUAAUCCAGAAACAUGAUGUUCACAGAUAACCGCCAGACUUCGUAUUCGUUAUCUAUUCCUUCUGUUUUGCAUAUGUGAAUUACAGGGUCUGUCAUGCCCGGAGUCCAACUUUGAUAGAAAUAAGCAUUCUUGACUGCUAUUUCUAUUUUUUCGGUAUGCGGUCAAGCAACCUGUUUUGCCUGUCCCUUUUUCUUAUAUACAAUAUAUAUACUGAACUUUACAGAAGUUCCUGCCGGUAAUCGGCUAUAUUUACAUACCGAAUUCUACCAGUAAAUAAUUGGGUUUUUUUAAAAGCCUUUAUAGAAAUUAUUUACUCUUAUCAUUAUAUUACUAUUUGGAUUUUUCACUCCCUUUGACAGCCUAUUUUUGUAAUGCGCAUGGCAGAAUUUUGGAGGAAGAUUUAUGAAUUCAAAUGUCUAUAUAGAUUUAGCCUUUGCUCACUUUCUUCAAAUAUUUUGAUGUCGCAUGGUCAGAAGGUUUGAGGUACGUAGCAUUUGAUAAAUCUAUGAUAAAUCUUUGAUAGAAAUAUAUAUAUAUAUAUAUAUAUAUAUAUAUAUAUAUAUAUAUAUGUAUGUAUGUAUGUGUAUGUAAAAGUGUGUAUAUAUGUUUGUAUUUAUAACUUAACUUUCUAAACUCUCUGACGAAGCCCAGAGGCACAUCUAAGUACCUGAAUCUUAUCUACCAAAUAUUUCAAUUCAUUGAAUGGGUGGAAGUAAAGUGGGGUACUAUGACCUGUUGGCUGAAACAGCUGUAAGAAACUAUUCUAUUUUCUAUACUCUACGUUAUAUAUUUUAAUAAUUACUGGUAUUUUAUAUGUGUAAAGCAUAUGUUAUACAUAUAUGUAUAUUCUUAUAAUUGUUUUGUUUUUCAAAUAGACAUAAUACAAUGUCUAAAAGUUUGAUGAAUACAACCUAUUGAUUCUAUCCAUUUUCUUGUUGCCGUGUGUACGUAUAUAUAUAUAUAUAUAUAUAUAUAUAUAUAUAUACACAUACAUACACAUAUAUGCAUAUAUAUAUGUAUACAUAUAUAUGCAUUUAUAUUUAUAUAUGUGUGUGUGCGUUUGUAUGCAUGUAUAUAUAUGGGAUAAUAUUUUCACUAUUAGUAGUGAAAGGAUUAAAGUGAAAGUAUUAUCUCACUUUACAAUAGAGAUGUUAUUGUUUCACUUUUGGCGCAUUAAUAUUGUAAGAGAUAAGAGAUUGCUCCGGCUUGCGUUAAGCAAAAAGUUGAAAUUUUGGCCCAUUACACGGCAUGCACCCUAUGUAAUGCAUGUGUCAAAUUAGAAUGAAAUCGGUUGGGUAGUUUUUGAGUUUUUGUGAUGCACACAUAUAGAUAGGCAGACAGACAGACACAGACACAUUCUUACAUAUAUAUAUGUAUAUAUAUAUAUGAGGACUCCGUCGGUUACGUCGAUGAGGGUCCCAGCUGAUACGACCAGCGGAACAGAUUGCUCGUGAAAUUAACGUGCAAGUGGCUGAGCAUUCCACAGACACGUCCAUCUGUAAAUUGCGUCCAACUCCUGCUGCAUGUGUGUAACUUCGAUAAACUUUUGUAUUACUGCGAGAAUUUCGUAUCGUUUGCGUAGCUUGCAAGGUGGCUAUAAGGGCAGCUGAGGAUAUAUCUAUGAAAAACAGUGGUCCCAAGACAAUGCCAUGUACAACAUCGGCACACUCAUGAUUUAAAGAGGGUUGCUGGGGAAACUAUCAGGACCAGCUGUUGAGUUUGCGUCAACCUCCCCUAUGGCUAGUAUUAUACCUUCUUUACCAAUGUCGAUGUAAUCCAUCGUAACUGUCUAGCUGGUUAUAGGUGAGGCGACAAAGGAAUCCACUGGUUCGUUCACUUGUCUGUGUUCCAACUUUGGUUUCCUUGCCUACAUCACAUUGAGCUACAAUUACUUUUAUGAUAGUAAUUGGAAAGUUGAUUUUCUAGGAGAAGUGUAGAUGGGACUUUCAAAAGGGGUACUUAAGCGUAAUAAAAGUAAACCCUCUCCCGGAAGUAUUUGUGUAUAAAAGGGGAUAGAGGAGAAAAGAAGGCGUGUGUGCUUUUGUUGGGUUUGGGUUGAUAGAAAGUCAUUAUGAGGCGAUUUGGUUUUGGUUCACUGCUGGAAUUGUAUUACCAUUUGUCUUUCAACUAGCGUAGAAUUAACUCUGUAAACAGGUGUGUCAAAUUCGAGUCACGAUUUUCGUUGCAUUUAGGGCUCAUAAACAGAGUGUUUGUUGAUAAUUAGGUUUUAAGAACAUAUGUCAGACUAAGCUGAAUUGCUGUUAUUAUAUUUCUAUUAAAAUUUGUAAACUAGGGUUUUUGUGGAAGUUUAGGAUUUAGGAGACCAAUCUAGUAUAAACAUAUAUUGAGGAUUUCUAGUCUUUUUCUAGAGACGCUAUUCGCAUUUAUUUUAUAUCAUUACAAUGAUAUACACUAACGUCGUUCUUUGAUGAUAGUACAUCCAGACACAUGCAUAAGUAUGAACCAUUUUCCGUACGUAUAGCCAUUUAUAAUGAGAUAUACUGCAAAUAUAUAUAUAUAUAUAUAUAUAUAUAUAUAUAUAUAUAUAUAUGGAUAGAUAGAUAGAUAGAUAGAUAGAUAGAUAGAUAGAUAGAUAGAUAGAUAGAUAGAUAGAUAGAUAGAUAGAUAGAUAGAUAGAUAGAUAGAUAGAUAGAUAGAUAGACAGACAGAUAGACAGAUAGAUACAUUGAUAUAGUCGAAAUUUACAGAAAAAAACGAAUGUGAAGGCAGAUGUAUAAACAACAAGCAGGUGCAAUAGUUUGACGCUAGGGAAAGUGGGAAAGUCUUUUACGUCUUGAGCCUACGCUCUUCAAAAGAAAGGAAUAAGAGAAAAUAAACAAAGAAAAAAUAAAAAUAAACAUGUGGAUUUAGUGAUCAUAUAUAUAGAGAGAGAUAGAGAAAAACAGACAGACAGACUGACAGUGAGAUAUGUAAAUGGAUAUGAUAAUAAUAAUAAUAAUAAUAAUAAUAAUAAUAAUAAUAAUAAUAAUAAUAAUAAUCAUUAUUAUUAUUAUUAUUAUUAUUAUUAUUAUUAUUAUUAUUAUUAUUAUUAUUACUUCAUAUAAAAGAACACAAUUUGGGUUCAAAACACACAACAGCUGUUUCGGUAGCAUUUUAUUGAUAUAUUCUUCGAUUAAAUCAUAGUAAAAACAGGCCAUAAUCAGGUCAAGUUUAAACACAUAAGCGAGUAAGAGAGAAGCAGAAGACUAUUUCAUCAAAUACCAAGGGGAAACAAGUACUAGUUAUAUAUAUUAUAUAUCUCUGUUGUGUUAUAUAUAUAUAUAUAUAUAUAGUAGUUGAAUGAAUUAUCUUAAUAAGGAUAAUUCGAAUUAACCGAUACCUGGGUAGCAAAUUCACAUCAGAAAAAACACAGUUGAAGUUACGUGCCUAGGGCAUAGAUUACGUGCUUUCGUGUGGAAAUUUGUAUGUUUAUUUUAAAAAUAUAAAUAUAUGAAAGAAUGGAGCUGAACCACGAAUUAACAAAAUUCCUUUAUUUUCGACAUAUGUUUCGAAGGCUGCAUAUUCCUAAUUGCGAAGGAAUAAGGAGUACAUUAUGCCGCUUUCUCAUCAGGAAAAGCAAGGAACAUAUGUCAACAUCAAAAUGCACAAAAAACUUUUAGAUGAUUGUUCACACGGAGCCCAUAGCGAUAAUGAGUGUCUCUUUAAAAUAUUCCUUUAUAAGGAGUGAUGUCUAAGUGGUUGAAAGUAGAAGAAUCUAGAAGGUUCUAAAGGUUCAAUUCCUCCGCAAUUAGGAAUAUGCAGCCUUCGAAACAUAUGUAGAAAAUAAAGGAAUUUUGUUAAUUCGUCGUUCAGCUCUAUUCUUUCAUAUAUAUAUAUAUAUAGGCCGAUAGUAUUUACAGAGUAUUAAGCACUUUCGGUAUGCUAAUUAGAGACUUCUUCAUAGAGUAACUGCAGCAUUUGUUGUGUAUAUAAACAAUUUGGCUGGUUGUUUCUGUCAGAAUGAUGUAAACGCCUCUGAUUAGAACCCAAUAAAGUUCGAAAAUCGAUUAAGGUUGUUCAUCAUUUUCUUCAGGCUAAAAUUUGCCGUUUAUAAUUGAAGCUUAUGUUACACACACACACACACACACACCUACACAAACACACACACAUAUAUAUAUAUAUAUAUAUAAACUGUAUAUAUAAACCAUAUGUUACACACACACACACACAAACACACAUAUAUAUAAACAUAUAUAUAAAUUGUAUGAUGCACACCGUAUAGUCUGGGAUUUCCGUACUUUUUGCUGUUAUAUUAAUUCGUGAAAAGCAAUUUACAAAUUUUGUUAUAAAAUUGGUCAUGAAUGGUGUUCAGGAAAUUCUUUCUUAAGAUUCUAUAAUUUUACGAGAUUGAGUUUUUGGAGAAAGGAAUUUUAUAUGCAGUUAGUACCAUAUAAUCCUCAUAAAUCAGUGCUCUUCAAAUGCUUCGGUUCCCAUUAUUCCCGAAAAUUCUUUCUAUUCAGUAAAUCUUUCCAAAUCAUGACAGCUAUGUCUUUGACAAUUACUACUUGUUUAGUGGAUUAAAUCUCAUUACAAAUCGAUCCCGUGACAGAUACGUAUAACUCAAUGCAAUGAAAGACUGCAGUAAGCUACCAUCAGACUAUAUCAACGAAGUGGGUUCAUUUUCUACUUAAUAUUUUUUUACUUAUGCCAUCACUGCAGAAACAUUCUAUAUUCCUACGAGAGGGUACUGAAAAGAUCCCCUGUUUUGGGCAAAAUAAAAUGAAGGAGAAUUAGUUAAUUAUGAUUUUAUUCAAUAUAUUCCUCUCUCAGAAUCACGCACUUAUUGCAGCGGUCCUUCAAUUUUUUCCAAGCCCCGUAAAAUAACUCGGAAGGUUAGGCCUCCAAGGCCUUUUGUGAGACCCUUAAAGCGUGGAAUUUUCUGCGCAUCCUCGUGUAUGCAUUUAUCGUUCAGUGUCAAAAUUGCUAUCAAGUAUACACACUUAGAAGGUAUUUCAGAUUGUUGAAACAACAUAACAAAAUUCAUAUUUAUGUUUAGUUUCUUUCCUGUCAUUUCCCGUUUGAAGGCUCAUGUAAACUAUUUUGAUUCCAUUCCUCCAGAAUGUGUUACUUGCAUUCGAAAAUGGUGCUUAAAUGAAGAAAUUGUUCCAAAAGUUUCAGAUAACAAUCAGGAAUCUGACCGAGCGCUUCUACAAGAGAGGGAAUCAUGAAGACCUUACCGUUGGUUAAGUGAUAAUCUUUAUAUUGCCGAAACAUCAUUCCAUUUGGCUGUAUGCAUGUAUGUGUAUAUGUGUAUAUAUGCAUGUGCGUGCGUGUAUGUAUGUAUUUACGUAUGAAUAUCUGAGUGUGUGUGUUUGUGUUUGUAUGUAAUCAAACAUAAACUUAUAUAUUUAUAUUUUCGAGGUUUCAUUAUGUUUCCUAAACCAUCAAAGGUACGGAUCUAUAUCCGUAUACCUAAAUGUGUUGGUAUGAUUUGAUCACUCUGAAUUGUAAAUCACAUAAUACUUUUUAUUAUACUUCCAACUUAAUGUGUUCAGUGUUACAUUCUUAAGUUUGUUCACUUACACACACACACGCACACACACAUACACACACACACACAUACACACACACAUGCCUGUACAAUCAUAGAAAUGAAAACGUAGGAUUGUAAAAUGUAAACUACCCAAAUUCAUGAAGACGAGCGUCAUGACUGAUAUUUCCAAACAACAACGGAUUUAAGAAAUCGAUGCAGCUGAUAUUCAACUUGAUUUUCUCUGCUUAAAAAUACUGAAUACAAUGAAAAACUUGUACAGAUGCGAGGAUAUUGGGUGGAAUUGUGUGAGCUAGUGCACAGCUUCUGUGUUCAGAAAAUAGAAGUUUAAAUAAUAUUCAUAGAAAAUCCCGGUAGGGAAACGACAACAUGUACGUGAGUUUCGCGGUACUAAUCCACAACAAUUGAUUUGAUUAAUAAUGCCACUCCAAAUACAAAAUGUUUCGCACUGACUCAAAUGAAAGUGUUAUAUUUUGGAAACCGACGAACGUUGACAUUUAUCUAGCAUGCAUACAAUAAAUGAAAACAAUAUAAACAUGCAUAUGUUGAGCAGGUAUUAGAACAACAAAAUAUAUAUGAAUGGAAUAAGAAAUGAAACCACAUGCUAAAGUAAUUAAUUGCUAGGAAUCUUUAGAAAUCUAGAUAUUCGGAAGAGUGAGAGAAAUAUUUCUAUAUUUUCUCAAUUCAUUUUUCAUGGAUUUUGAUUAUAGAUUUAUUUCUCAUGGAUUUCGUAUUGAAGCAACAUAUUAGAGUUUUUAAGCAUCAGUAGGUGUCUUUUUAAGUGCAGUGCUAUCUGUUUUUAUCGUUCAAGUCUGUAUAAUUUGAUUUUAUGAUUUUCUUCUUGAUACAUAUAUGUAAUAUAUACGUAUGCAUGUACGUAUGUACGUACGUAUGUAUGUAUGUGUGCAUGUAUGUAUGUAUGUAUGUAUGUAUGCAUGUAUGUAUGCAUGCUUGUAUGUAUGUAUGUAUGUAUGUAUGUAUGUGUAUGUGUACACACACAUCAUUAAAAAUCAUGCUGCUUACACGAAUAAAAAUUAUGAAGCAAAGCGGAGACAAACAAAUAAAAAAGGAAGUCAGACAAAGGAAUGCAGAUUCCUGAAAAGGCUUUAAAAUAUGAAGAGAAUUGUAAAUUGUAUCUAAAUAUGGCAAAUGAAGUAACAGGAGUGAUUCUGACUUUUCUUGAUAUCUUUAAAAACAGACAAGAAAUCUCACUUAGAAGAAAGAGAAUGAAUGCAAGCGUAUGAUACCGAAUAAAAGAUGUUUGUUUGCGUAACAGGUCUAGGGUAGAGUAAAAGCAGGCAGUGGAAUUAAAAGACAGGAAUAUUGGAGGCAUAUUUGCUGUUGAAUCGUAUAUUGAAACAAAAAUUUUGUAUUUGGAUGGGUUUGUUUGACAAUAAAAUCGCACACGUAUUGUUUGUAUUUUUCCUAUGUUUGUUGUUGUUUGUGCAUAUGAACUGAUAGUCAAUUUUUCAAAAAUCCCUGUAAUUUUUUUAAAAUUAUAUCGAUACAGAAAGCAACUGAGGAUGUUGUUGAUUACGUCACAAACAGUGACAAAAGAAUACCGACAAAAUAAUGGUGCAAAAUCUUUGAUUAAUUAAUCAGUCAAAUAUAAAUGCAGCCAGUGUAUGUUUUUAUUGACAAAACUAGCACUCUCAAAAUGCACAUACAUAUAUGAGUAGUGAGAUUGAGGUCAUUGUACAUUUAACAUUUCCACCAGUUUCGUGGGGUACUUUAUUAGAACUCCUUAUGUUGCAAAUUGUGAUACAUGUUUCUUGUAUCUUUACUGAAAACUUUUCUGCUUAAAAUUGAAUUUCGCACAAGCUGCAUUUGUCCGAAUUGUCUAGAAAGUACUACAUACAUCAUAGCAUAUUUUUUAAUCAUUACAUCAUAUGACUAAUUUAUAAAAGGAUUCGAAACAAGUACAGUGUGUGGAUAUAUUCUCUCAAUUAAUUAAUUUCAAUGAUUAUUGCAGUCUCAGUCUGCAUUUCUGCAUCGAAGAAAUCAGCCCAUUUGGCAGGUAAAAUAGUGUGCAUGAGAUAACGAUGACAAAUGUGGCUAAAGAAAAAUUUCUACGCGAAUGCAGUUCAGAGAAAAAAUUAGUCAAUGACUCAAGAAUGUAAAACAAAAAGAAAAGAUUUUUAAUGCUUAAACAAAUGACAAAUAUACACUACAAUAUCUAUUGAUUUUAAAUAUUUUCAAAGGUGAAAUUCAUAUUUAUCUCACACAUAGGAUAAUAUAAGACACAGUGACGGGCGCUGUAUUUAUGUUCUUUCUGUUUUUUGCAUCAGAUGUAACAGUCAUUUUACCGUUUCUUACUUGCGAAUCUGCAUAGACGAGAUACGAAUGGUCAAGCAACAAACUUUUGGUGUCUGGUGCCUGUCUAGGAAGACUUCCAGAUUUUCGUAUAUUCUUUAUAUCAAAAUAUUAUAGGGACAGUUUCCGAAAAUUGAAAUAAUCUCUAUAAUAAAUGCAAUGGAAAUGAAUCGAAAAAUAUGAAGGUGAAUACAAAAAUCAACACCACGAGUUUAAGCGUCUGAAAGACAUACAGAAAAUAGCACUUCUAGGCGUGUUCAGGACAAGAGGAAAAACAAAUUAAAACAGCGAUACUUCACGUUGUAUUCAACGCACAAAGUGUUGCACUCGAUUAUAUAUAAUAAACAUGGACACAGGAUAAGGCUACAGAAAAAAAUACUAUUAUUUUAAUAUCGACAUGUCUAAUCAUUUGCUUAGGUGCGAUGAAUUGAUUUGGAUGUAAGUCUGUAUGAGAACCCAAACGUGAAGGUGUGUGUGUGUGUUUGUUGUUAUGUGUGUGUCUGUGAAGAGAGAAAAACUUUAGCACAGACAAUGGCCUAAUAAUAAUGUAUAAAAUAACUUGUAAUACUUUGUUUCGAAAAUUCAAAUACAAUAUCGAUAUACACAUAUAUGAACAAAUGUGAAUCCCAAAGCAACGGUUGCUUGUAUUUAUUCGUAAAAUCAGCAUCUUCGAAUUAUAUUAUUUUAUAUCUACAUCUGAUGCACUCGUCUGGUAAAUAUAAAAAUGUUUCCGAAAAGCACUUAGAUGUUACGAGUUGCAACAUCCGAAUGUACUUUCGCUGCUACUUCUGCGUGAUAGUAAACAAAAAAUGACACUGCACAAACACACACACACACACACACACACACACACACACACACACACACACACACAAACAAGCACUCGCGCGCACGCGUGCAACCAUACAUAUAUCAAGACAGUACUAGGUGACAGAGAGAGAGAAAGGGAUGGGUGUUCCUUUUCUUUUACUUUUAUAAUCUUCAAAAAUUUAUUGGUUUCUAAGAAACAACGCCUCAUCUUUAGAAUUUUGAUAGCAACGAAAGUAAAGAGUUUCUUAAUCAUGCAUACUCUUUUACUCUUUACUCUUUUACUUGUUUCAGUCAUUUGACUGCGGCCAUGCUGGAGCACCGCCUUUAGUCGAGCAAAUCGACCCCGGGACUUAUUCUUUGUAAGCCCAGUACUUAUUUUAUCGGUCUCUUUUGCCGUACCGCUAAGUGACGGGGACGUAAACACACCAGCAUCGGUUGUCAAGCAAUGCUAGGGGGACAAACACAGACACACAAACACAUACACACACAUAUAUAUAGAUAUAUAUAUAUAUAUAUAUAUAUAUAUAUAUAUAUACGACAGGCUUCUUUCAGUUUCCGUCUACCAAAUCCACCCACAAGGCAUUGGUCGGCCCGGAGCUAUAGCAGACGACACUUGCCCAAGGUGCCACGCAGUGGGACUGAACCCGGAACCAUGUUGUUGGUUAGCAAGCUACUUACCACACAGCCACUCAUGCGCCUAUGCAUAUUUAUAUCGUUAUUCGUACAGAUUGAUUUUGUAGCAUUCGGUCCAGAUGCCACAUUCGUUAUAUAACAUUUUUCCUCCCUCAUCUGUCAUCUAAAUCUUUAUUACUAUAAUAAAUUGUACGCAUGAUUAUUGGUUCAAACGUUAAUUUGCAAUCUGGGUAGCGAUAUUGUGGCUUUUGAAGUAAUUGAGCAUAAAUGUAUCGUUUUUCUCAAUAAUUUCGAGCGGAAUUUCCACAGGCGCUGAGCAACUAACACCCACAGCUAAAGGAUAUUUUUUCCUCUCUCUCUACCAACCAAAUACAACUGCUUUCUAUGUAUAGAUAUAUACAUGUACAUGCAUGUUCGAAAAUGGUCAUUUUCUUAACUUUCCACUGAUACAAAGCCAAGUAAUUAGCGAUGUAUUUCGAUGGCAACAAGACAAACAUCAUUAACUUUAGCAACAAACACUUGUCUUCCAUUUUCUUAAACGUCCGUAUAUUUUGUGCAUAUUCUCGAGUAACUCUUUUGUCAACGAUCAUACUCGGAAUUAGUAUAGGUUGUAACAAACGUGAAGCUUUCGUUCAAUAGGAUGAUAAAGAUCUAUUGGCUGCAUAAAUAAUUUCUUCAUCAAUUCCACGGGGUUGUCAAAUAUAGCAUCUAUUCCUCGUAACAGAAAGUCUUUCGACCAUUAGAACGGCAUUCUAGAUCAGAAUUAUAAAGCUGAUAGAUUUGAACAACGAUGCAACAGAUUACAUUUGAGAUGUUUCCAUUUGUUAAACUAUAGAGUAUUAUUCGAUGUUAAUACACCUCUGACAAAUUGUUGAUAUUAGCAUUCUCAAAUAAAUUAUAUUAGCAUAUAAAAAAUAUCUACUACUUAUUCUCAUUCACCAAUUCUUCUUCCCCUCUUUCCAUUUUUUUUUCAUCAUCUUCCACUUUUUUACUUUUCUUCCGCUUCUGUAUUUUCUCCUGCAACUUCUUCACAAUUUCUUUAUUACUAAUAUUUUAAAUAAAUAAAUUAAUCAUCAACAUCACCAUCAUCAUCAUUAUCCUUGUUGUUGUUGCUGUUGUUGUUGUUAAGGCGGCGAGCUUGAAGAAUCGUUAACAAGACGUCGCUACGUUCUAAGUUCAAAUUCCGCCUAGGUCGAAUUUGCCUUUCAUCCAUCGAGAUCGAUGAAAUAAGUACCAGUUACGCACUGGGGUCGAUAUAAUUGACUAAUCCCUUUCCCCAAAAAUUUUCAACGCCUUGUGCCUAGAGUAGAAAUAAUAAUAAUAAUAAUAAUAAUAAUUUAAUUAUAAUACUAAUAAUAAUAAUAAUAAUUAUUAUUAUUAUUAUUAUUGAGUGAGAGAGCAGUUCAUGCCAUCAAAGUGACACUGGGGUAAAAUAUACGGAGCCCAAUAUACCUAUCAUGACUACCCGUCUGAUAAAGGUACACCAGGCACAUGCAUCACAACCAUAUGUGCGCGACAUGGUGAUCUCAUAUCAAGAUAAACAGCACAUGACCUUGCAGGUGGGGCCCAGUUAGAAUUUUCUUCAGGUUGAGUAGCCCAUCCCGCUCAAACGGUCCCUGAAUAAGGGUUGUUUAAGGAUGUUGAAAGAACCACCCAUGUUUCCAGAGGUGAACAAUUCAAACCCCAAAGAAUCCCUCUCAACACAUGGCUAUGAUGCUCCCCCACUACUUCUGCUCGUGAUCAGAGAUGCACAUAUCGUCAGCCACUAAGGGACAUGCUCAACUGGUUAAGGUCAAACAACUGACAAGCAAAUCUGUGGUAUUGAGCAGAAUAUUUGCUGUAGCCCAUCUUUUAUACCAAGACAAAACAAUGUACAUGAUAACACUUCCAAUCAGUUAAGAUCAGAAGCCAAGAGAGCCACUGCCUGGUACUGCAUCAGGGCAAUAUUAUUAUUAUUAUUACUAUUAUUAUUAUUAUUAUUAUUAUUAUUAUUAUUAUUUUUAUUAUUAUUAUUAUUAUUAUUAUUAUUAUUAUUAUUAUUAUUAAUAAUAAUAAUAAUAAUAAUAUUAUUAUUAUUAAUAUUAUUAUUAUCAUUAUUAAUAUUAUUAUUAUUAUUAUUAUUAUUAUUAUUAUUAUGAUUAUGAUUAUUAUUAUUAUUAUAUGUUUGAUCUUGGCUUUGUAUUUGUACAAGUUGACUCCAAGCCUCACCCAGAGAUCUCAAGAGACAAGUUAGAAGCUUAAGUUGAUGUUAUGAUUAGGGUGCCAUAUAUUUGGUUCUGUAGCAUAUUUUGCACAUGGAGGCAAGUACUGCGAUCGAUGUAAUCGACUAUCCACUCCCACCAAAAACAAUUUCAGAAAGGAUUACUAUCAUCAAUAAGGGGGCGAGCUGCCAGAAUCGUUAACACGCUGAACGAGAUGAUUAGCGGUAUUUCACCCGCCGCUACGUUCUGAAAUCAAAUACUUUCGAGAUCGACUUGACCUUUCAUCCUUUUAAGGUCGAUAAAAUAAGUAACUCCCCCAAAAUUACUGCCCAUGUAGCAAAAUUUAAAACCAUUAUUAUUAUUAUUUUUAUUAUUAUUAUUAUUAUUAUUAUUAUUAUUAUUAUUAUUAUUAUUAUUAUUAUUGCUUUGUUUCAUACCUUGUUGUCAGCAGGACAUAGUUUGUUUUGUUUUCUUACUCAAUUUAGACUAUGUCUAUCUUCCUAACCUCUUAAGGCGGCGAGCUGACAACAACCGUUAAUGCUUCUUCUUCUUCUUCUUCUGAUUCUUUUAAAUCCACGUGUUCUGUUUCACAUCGUACUUGCUGCUGCUGCUACUACUACUACUACUACUACUACUACUACUACUACUACUACUACUACUACUACUACUACUACUACUACUACUGCUACUACCACUGAGAUAGUAGUACUUAAUGACUGUACUUUCUCUACAUGAAUUACUCUUUUGGAAGUUAGCAUAUUCUGACGCCCUAACGUUUGGCGAUAUAUUUGGAUGCUAGUUUCAUGGUUAUUAAUUAUCUUAAUGAUUAUGUUUGCGUUAAAAUUUACGCAUUCAGUUCAUCAUUAUUUCCAGUUCGUUGUAUUAAAAUAAUUCCUCCGUUUCUUCUUGAGAUACUUUGUCACAUAGAAUUAUAGGACAGCCUUUAUAUUCAAUUGAACGUGGACGCCUUGUAAGAACGUCGAAAUCUGCAGUAUUCACUUGUGAGGACUUCUUUUAUAUACGCUUGGUGUAUAAAAGUACACAUAUUUAUAUCGUUGGCGCCAAUAAUAUAAAUAUGUGUACUUUUAUGCACCAUGUGUCCAUAUGCGAUGUCCCUUUACGGUAAAUACCGCAAUAUCUACCUCAGUUGGAAUCAUAUUGGUAUUCAUACCGCUUCUGUUUCGAAUAAUUAUUUUAUAUAAGUUGAUGAUAUUUGCGACACCUUUUGUCUGAUAAAUCACUGGGAUUCUAUAUAUCAUUGGCAAUUAGAUAUGGCCGGGAUGUAACUAAGGGACAGCUAUCCCUAAAGAGACAGAGUACGUCGAAAUGACGUGAUCUAAUACUUCUAGCGACCGCAUCAGGCGAUUCUCGCUAGACUACGAUAAAAAAAUAUUUGCACUUUUAGGCACUAUAUGUCCACAUGGGAGGUCUUCAUAUUGCAUUAUUCGGCAUUCUAACAAACAAAACACUUACGUUAAGUUCUCUAUAAAGAUUGCGAAAGCUUGCCAUAAUGAUAAUGUAUGUUAAUAACAGGUAAUAAUUAUAUAUUACCGUAGUAGCAAUUGAUAUUUUUAUUGAGUGUCAAUUCCUUAACCAGAAUCAUCAGCAAUUUAGUUUUAAUUUCCUUACCUAUAUGGAUGGACAUAAUGCACUGUAUUGUCUCUCUAUCCAUCUCUGAGAUUUUUGAUGUUGUAUGAUUAGAACGGCUUUUUUUCUUAGUUUCCUAAAGUUCUCAUCUUUUGCAUUGAAUAAACGCCUCUGAGUCUGUCAUACACUUGAAACUACACAUACUAAGUCUGAAUAUCUAGACAUUAUUUUGCUAAUGUUUUCUUCCCUUUCAUUGUACAUUUUGCUGUUAACGCAUUUUACUUUAUGAUACGUCACGUAGGGAAUUUUGGAUUCUGUUUCAUAAUUAAGAAUCAAGUUUCCGCUUUGAUUCCGUGUUUCUCAAGCAACCUUUUGAUUUUCUUUAUUUUACAAUUCGUCCAAAAUUUUCCUGAUAUUGGCCAUGCAGAAGAUAUUCUUGCCAUCGCCUUGGCAUGAUAUUCUUUUGAUGAGUUUUUGGUCUCUGCACAAUUUCCGUUGUUUUUAUUUUCUUUUUGCAACUAUCUAUUACUACAAUCUCUCUUGGCGUCUUUGAAGACAAAAUAGCCUUGCGUUUUGUUCAAAUUUUGUAGCGUUUAGAACCAUACCUCUUCCUUAUUCACGGUAAAUAUAAUCUUUUUAUGUCAGAUUUUGUGUGCUGUAUUAUAAAUGCAGUUAUUGCAUCUUUUUCUUGUUUUGUUUUGCAAGUUUAUUUAGCCUCAAUCUGAGAAUCUUAUAACUACGAUAUAUUAUUAGCGAGAUUAUUAACGGCUAUUACCUUGGUUUCUUAUCUUUUGGGGAGGAAGUGGAGGUGGUAAUUUAGCUUUGUUUAAAAUUUUAAUCUAAUGCACUUUAAUUAUUCGUUGUUAGGCGUUUCUUUCUUUCGUGUCUUAUUCAUUUAUUCCUAAGGAUUUCCAUAUCUGUUUGAUCAAAUUCCCUUAUCAAUGUUUCCUUAUCUCAUAUGACAUUUGUGUUCUUAAUCUUCCACCUCCUCUUCUCCUUCAUCUCAUUUUUCUCCUUACCUAAGCCUUUUCUUCUUCUUAUCACCAUCAUGGUCAUCAUUAUCAUCAUCAACAUCCUCCCCCACCCAAUUCUUCCUCCUCUUUUCUUCAUUAACACUAUUAUCAUUGUGUCAACGGUACACAUAGUCUGCUCUAUCAGAGCCAUUCUCCAGUUCCUAAAUAGCUCACAUAUUGAUAUAACCUAUUUUGUUUUUCUCACUUUCGAGAAUAUAGAAACCUUUUGUGAUCAAUCACUUUUUCCUGGAAUUUCCCCAAACAUACACCCAAAAUACCCCACCCAUUCUUAUUUAGUACAAUUAUUUUCGGUUCACAAUUAUUUUCUUUUCUUUACGGCUUUGCACAAGUAAAGAAUUGCACUGAUUUUUUUCUCUAAUACAUACAUUUUUUUCUUCAGCAAGAGCUUGACUUUUAUUGCUUGACUUUUGUCUCUUCUGAUGAAGUUAUGUAGCAACUUUUGGAAUGCCUCGUUCUUGAUACAGCUGCUACAGUCUGAGGCUGCCAGUGUAGACACACGGACUAGUGUGUGACUAGUGGUCACUUCAAACGUCAUUUCACGCACGCUACGCAUACACAUUCACAUACACACACACAAAUAUAUAUAUAUAUAUAUAUAUAUAUAUAUAUAUAUAUAUAUAUAUAUAUAUACAUAUAUAUAUAUAUAUAUAUUGUUAUAUUUCGGAAUGGUCAUAUUGCCAGUUUAGCCAAUAAAAACACACGCACUAUAUAUUUGGUGUUAUUUUGCUUCAGUGUUACUUAUUUUUUACAUUAAUCUUAAUCUUAUUUCGGCCAGAGUUCUUUCGUCACACUCCUGUGACCGCAUCAGUGGUCCUUUGUUUUCUCCUUUCUUAUUUGUGUCUCUCCUUAUUAACCGUCAGCCAUUUUGUAUUUCUAUUGUAUGUCUUCAUUUGCGCAUGCUUAUAUCUCUAUGUGCGUCUAUGUUUAUUUAGUGUGUGUAUGUGGGGGGAUACCUGUAAUAUUUGUAUCUUCUGUUUAUAUAUGUUCGUUCCGAAAUAUAACAAUAUCUGUUUUAACACACGACUUCACAUAAAAUAUUUAAACGUACUAUAUAUAUAUAUAUAUAUAUAUAUAUAUAUAUAUAUAUAUAUAUAUAUAUAUAUAUAUAUAUAUUCCACUUACGGUGAAAGUAAACAAAACUUGCUUUAGAUGCGUUGAGAUGUAUUGAAAGAUACAGAAUUAAUUUAUUCUCAAAUGCAUAAUAAUGCUGAAUUAUUAGCAUGAACAAGAUAAAUUAUCCAUAUACUGCACAAAAAUCUUUACUUGGCAGCCAUGAGACUCGAACUCACAUCCCUGUGAUUACGCGUCAAGUACUUUAGCUUAAACUUCCUAGUAACGAAUUGUUCUGCAAUUUUAGGAUUUAUAGAUCUAACUUUAUUAGACACUAAAGUUAAAUUCAAAUUAAGAUGAAAGUAAAUAAACAAAGUUUGCUUAAAAAACGUUGAGAUAUAUUGAAAGAUAGAGAAUUAAUUUAUUCUCAAACGCAGGAUGAUACUAACACAAUAGCAUGAACAGGAUAAACUAUUCAUAUAUUGCAGAACAACUCGAUGCCGGGCUGUUUAGCUUAAAGGUAAAGCACUUGACGCGUAGUCCCAGGGAUGCCAGUUCGAGUCUUAGGGCUGGCAGGUAACGAUAUUUUCCUGUCCAUGCUUUUGUAUCAGCAUCAUCAUGCAUCUGAGAAUAAACUAUUACUGAGAAUAAAUUAUUACUGACAAUAAAUUAUUAUACUGUAUAUAUAUAUAUAUAUAUAUAUAUAUAUAUAUAUAUAUAUAUAUAUGUACAUGCAUACUCUUUUACUUGUUUCAGUCACUUGACUGCGGCCAUGCUGGAGCACCACCUUUAGUCGAGCAAAUCGACCCCAGGACUUAUUCUCUGUAAGCCCAGCACUUAUUCUAUCGGUCUCUUUUGCCGAACCGCUAAGUGAUAUAAUAAUUUAAUACAUAAUAUAAUAUAAUAUAUAAUAUAUAAUAUAAUAUAUAAUAAUAAUUUAAUAUAGACAGCCGUGUGCAAUGUUUUACCAAAAAGCAAACUUAUAAUUGCCACUAAAUAUGACUAGGGUGUAGGUGUACAAAUACCCUAGUCGUAUUUAGUGACAGUUAUAUAUAUAUAUAUAUAUUUACAUAUACACAUAUGUAUAUAAACGCACAAACACACGCACACAUACACACUCAUAUACAAACACACGAAUAUCUGUGUGUGAGCGCAUGCGUGCUAAAAUUUUUAUUGCAACAUGUCCAUAAACGACGUGAAGAUACAGAUGAAAGAAUAAAUGUGUAGCAGGUAAGCCAUUUAAAGAAUAUACCGAAGUGAAUGGAAUUUGGAAAGUUGGUAUCGGCAUCAGAGAUAUUUCUCGGUGUUUUUAUCUCCAAAAUUCGAUACACAAUUGUCUGCUAUCGUCACAUUUACGUCAAUACUAUUGUCACCAGCUUUAUCUUUAUAUACCUUACAAUCACACGCAUUUUAGCAUACAUUUGCACAUAUAGGUACAUCCACUCGCACCUACACGGUUUUAGUGUGUGUAUACUUGUGUGUGUAUGUGUAUCUGUGUGAAGGUGUUUGUUGAUAAUGCUAUGUGCGUGGACAGGUAUGUUUUACUAUCCAGUAUCUCCUAACGUAACAAUAUGCCGUGCCAUGAUAUCAUGCAGACGACAACGAUUUAAUAUUAUUUGAUUUAAAUGCACCACAAUAUUAAGAAUACAAUUUUAUCAUUAUUUAACACAAUGUUAAAACACAACCAAUAUUGAUUAUUAGCAUAAAUACAUGGCAAAAAUGCUCAUGCAGUCAGCGGGACAAUACAAUUAACUGAAUCCCCACAGUAUGGCAUACAGUAAGAGCUCUCAAUAUGUGAUAUGUGUAAGAAGGCACCGCGCCUAUUUUAUACAAGCACGGACUAUGUAAUAUAACGAUUAAUCGCGUUAUUUUAUAGUAUAUAUGUGUACACUCAACAUCCCAUAAGUCCCAUAAGCGAAAGGAUAAUUUUAAUUGUUUCUGCACACGUGUGUACACAUGUGUUUGUGUGUAUGUGUGAACAUACAUGUUAGUUAAUAUGUGCAUGUAUAAUUUGUGCGUGUGCAUGUAUGAGUAUAUGCGUGUAUGUAUGAAAGUGUGUGUGAGAAACAGAAGCAAACAUAUAUAUAAAUCGAUACAUAUAUUAUAGAUAUUCAUACAUGCAUGCAUUUCUUUGAAGGAAGUUGCUUUUUUCAAUUAACGUUUGGACAAAAUUAUAUUUUCUAUUCCAUCAUUUUAUAUUUCCCUCUCCUCUUUCUCUUUUUUUCCCCCUUUUUCCACUUUGUCCUUGUCUGAUUUUUAUCUGUUCUUCCUCUACUAUUAUAUCAAUGUUAUCCUUGUUUUUAAUAUUACAACUUUCCAUUCCUUAUCAACCGUUUAUUUGAUGAAUUGUGCUCAGAUAACCAAUAACUUAUUUCAUAUAAACCCAUAGCUGUAUAAACUACUCAUUACUUAGAUGUGCAAAUUUUAAGCGAGGUAGCAUUCAAGCUGAAUAUCAUUUGCAUGUCAAAUGAUAAAAGAUUACUGGUAAUAUAGCAGAUUUUUCACGUUUGUACAUAAUGUCAAUCAUCAAGGUAUUUUAUACUUCAAUGUUAGUUUUUUUUUAUACUUUGAUCUCACACGCAUUUUAUAUUUCAGUAACCAAAAUACUUUCUGACUUUCAGAACAGAAAGAAAAAAAAUGUAUAAAUAGCAAAAGAGAUAUAUUUUUUUUUCGUUCUGUACGUGCUUUUCCGUAGCAAAAUAGAUAUAAGAAUAUCAUAUGUAGUUGCUAUUCAUUAUAGAGAAAUUUAUAGCAAAAUAUGAUAGAUGUUCUAUAGGAUGAUUAAUAUACAAACAUAAAUAGUUAUUCGAGAAAGUGGAUACCGUUUAUAUUCUUUCUUUUUUCUUUAUUAGUGUUAUAUAAAUAAUGUGCAGUUUUCAACGCUGUGAUGUCUGCUUUUUAAAACAAAUGUCUCUUGACAAGGUCGAGAAGCCUUCAUGAAGCGAUAAAUAAAGCUUUAAUGAUAUAAUAUAAUAUAGUACACAAGGGCUCUGAUGUUUGCAGUUAUAGACGAAAGUAGAAAUAUAUUGAUGUAAAACAUUUAGAGAUAUCUCUCAACGUUCUAAUUGAAAAUUCGGUUUCCAUAAAUUUUAUUCCAUUCACUAGAGACAACUGAAGAAAUAAAAUAAUGCAACAUAAUCUACAAGAAUUAUUUGAUCAUGUUUUUAAUCGACUUAAGUCAAAAUUUAAGCGGUUUCAAAAUAAUGGUGGUAUGAUAAAUAGAAGUCGCACAGUGUCGUAUUAAGUAUAUAGUCAUAGUGUAAAAGUAGCUACUUUCUAAGUUCACAUGCUGCUGUGUGCAAAACUAGUGAAAUUAGUACAAAUAUUAUGCUUAAAUUGAUUUGGUCCUCUCAGCCAUUUCUCUUAAAACAGUUUUACCAUAGAUCAAUAAGUAUAUUCCACUCCAUAGAGAUAAUCGACCAAACCAGUUUGUCAUUUGUAAGAGACGCAAAAUAGCAUAUCAGAAGUGAUAACACAUUAUUUAACGCUCGUGUUCAUUAAAUAUAGAGGAUACUCAGGCUAAAUGUGAUAGUUUACAUCAAAUGAAAGGAAAAGACAAUACUCCAUCCAAGAGGAAAUGUAUUUAAAAAAAAAAUAAUAUCAACUUUGUUAUGGAUGGGGGAUAAGUGUUUACUCAAAGAAGCCAACCUUAGCUUCAAUCACGGACUCAGGAUAACCCCAGAAUCUGGCUAAUGUGUUUCAGACUGUGUCCGUUGGAAGCUCUUCCAAUACUUCCUUGACGUUGGCCACCAUCUCGACCUUGCUGUUGCAGGCACAGCGGGUAUCAUCUUUCUGAAAUGAUCCCCACACAUUACAAUCGCGGGAAUUUAGAAACUAAUAAUGGGGAGUGUACAUUAGCUAAAUCUCUCCAUCAAAUGAACAUUACCUCUACAGGUGCACGGUGUAUCAUACAUGAAGGGAUGAAAUGAUCACGAGAUGAAGUGUUUCGCUCGAGUACACAACGAAAUCACUCAUUCCAGCAAAUGCAACCAUUAUCCCACGAUCGUGAGUGCAAUGGCCUAGCCACUAGACCAUGUAGCUUCACACAAACACACAAACGCACAUACAUACAUACAUACAUACAUACAUAUAUACAUACAUAUACACACACACAUACAUAAAUACAUAAAUACAUACAUACACACACAUACAUACAUAAAUAUAUACAUACAUAAAUACAUAAUACAUACAUAUAUACAUACACACACAUACAUGCACACAUACAUACACACACAUACAUACAUACAUACACACACAUACACACACAUACAUACACACAUACAUACAUAUAUACACACAUACAUACACACAUACAUACAUACAUACAUACAUACAUACAUACAUACAUACAUACAUACAUACAUACAUACAUACGGGUGCAUGCACUAUUGCAUUGUAAAAAUUUUCUGGUUGCCCUAUGGAUACCUUCAUCGUAUGUAACUAAACAAUUACGAAACCCAAAUACUACCUUACAGCCGACAAUAACUAACACAACAAACAUAAGUAGACAAAUUAUUUGAUGUCGCUGUUAAAUCAAAUCAGUCAUCUCAGAAGCUAUCUUUCAACACAUCUUGUUUGACUACGUACGCCUGAAGAUAUCGAUACAUAUCAGCACUUGCAGAAGUCUGAAUAAUAAUGCACACCUGAGUCAGCUUAUUAAGUACUUGCAAAUAGAAUAACAUGUAGUGAGCGCUACUUUCGUUCCCUUUCCUAAUUGUUUGUGUAUAUGUUAAUGCCUGUAUGUCCGCUUGUGUAUCUGUAUAAAAAUUUAAAUGCGUUUGUAUGUAAGUAUACUUUGCAAAUGGGUUGAUUUAUUAUUGCAUAUUCCUAUGUCAAUCCAGUUCGACAGACCUAUGAUCAAAAAUAUUACAGCUAUGAAUGUCCUGUAAUUUUCUCCUGUAUUUUAUAUCCCAGAAGUUUAUUAUCUACUGUCUUUUUCUUAGUCAGUAGUGUUGAUUAGUUGCUAUGUCUAACAUUUUAAACGAUCAAGUAUAGGACCGUUCGUUGGCUCGUUGCAAAUUCAUAGUGUUUCUGAAUGGAGAUUAAAAUAGAUUUAAUCUAUUCGAGGAAAUUAUAGUUUAGGUAGGUUCCGUCAGUUUGGAUGUACCAUAGGCAAGAUAAUUGAAUGAUAAUUGCAAUAAUAUACUGGAUAAUUAUAGAAAUCUUCUCAUUUCCUUUCCUAAUACAUUUUGUAAUGAACCUGAUUUUCUUGUAUUAUAGGAUACACAUUGCAUCGUAAAUGAGUUUACGAAGUACGAUGACACGUUCUUCUGUAAAUUAACAUUCUUUUGUAUAAAGAAAGAAUGCUUAUAUUUAAUUUUGCAAUUGGAAAUAUGCAAUGCCAUCGCAAAACUUUCAAUAAUAAUGAGUAGUAGACAUAUCUAGAACAUAAGUGUUGUUGAUAGAAAAUUCGGAUGUGUAAUUAAUAAUUUCUAACUUUUUGAGAUAUAAAGGGGCACAAACUUAAUUUUUUGCCCAUAUUCAAAUCAUUUUCAUUUCGUCGGUGCAGUUUCCUUUAUUAGAUGUUGAAUCAUAGCGAAAAAUUGAAUGAAUAACCAAAAAAACUUGAAUCGAUGUUUAAAAAUUCUUGCUCCUAUAAACCAAACAUUUGCAUUAUAUGAUACUCUUUUUGAAUAUCAAAUUACUUAAUAUCACACUCUGGCUUCGCUUGGAAAUCAUUGUUUAUUAGCUGUUUCAUUUCGAGAGUCUAAAUUUAUAUUUAUUUUCAACUGUAAUCCUAUUUUAUUUGAAUUAGACUAUGGACAUUUAUCACAGAUUAUAUAUAGAUUUAAUAUAAAUAUUUUAUGGUGCUUUGGCCGAAAAAUAUUCCCAAGGUAUACCCAAAGUAUUUUAUUCUUCUACAUAUACAGUAUAAUGUGAAAUCAUAAAGCAUGUAUAUGUGUGCGUAUAUAUAUGUGUGUGUAUGUGUAUCAUACACACACAUAUACACGCACUCUCUCUCGCUCUGUCUCUUACACACACACACACACACAUAUAUAUAUAUAUUUAUAUAUAUAUAUAUAUGAGUUUAUCUUGAGUAUGUAGGAGGUAUGUGAGCGUGUGGUUUCCAUGUAUGUAUAUGUUCGUGUCAGUGUAUAUUUUUCAGAAAUAUUUCAGGUAAUUCUGAAAACAUUAAAAAUAUAUGGGCCCUGUUAGAAUCAUGCACAUUAAGCUGUACAAAGCAAAUAUAAUGUAUUUUAUACAUUCAUACAUAUAUACAUACAUACAUACAUACAUUUGCACAAAGCAAAUAUAAUGUAUUUUAUACAUACAUAUAUACAUACAUACAUACAUACAUACAUACAUACAUACAUACAUACAUACAUACAUACAAGUAUUCCAGGUUAUCAGGAAGUAUACUAAUUUACACUUUCCUAAUGAAAUGUAAAAAGUAUAUUUUAUAAUAUUAUUAUUACAAAUUUGAGAUAUUUUCCAAUAGAUAAGCAACUCCCAUUACAGUAUAACCUCAUGGUAUGGUAUACGCAGAGAAAAUUAAAUCAAAUAAAAUAAUUAAAAUAACAUAAAAUAAAAUCAGUUAAAUAUAUCUACCACCUGUUAUUAAUCUGUGGGAAAGAAUGUAGUACAAGUAAUCGCUAUACAUGUUUCUGCUCUAGUGGGGUGUGUAUUAAGGUUAUACUUAAUACAUAAAUCCACCAGUGCGUCCUCAGUCGAAGUAUAUUAUUAAUAUGUACGGAAAAAAGUUAAAUAUUAAAAGUUUAAAAUUAUAUUCAAAAUAAAAAUUACAAAUAUAUUUUUACAAAUAUUUAAAUACCUAAAGUACAAUUAAGAUAUAUAUUGAAAAUCUUCUACCUAAGGAAAUUUUAACGAUUGAAAUAGAAACGUAUCAAAUCUAAUAACAUAUUUAAACAAAUAUUAUAGAAAUUAUAUUCCUUGUAAUAAUUUAGUGUAAAAUGUACCCCUGUCAAUACUUGUAAAAUAAAACAUUUUAUUUACAUUAUUUACAAUUGACUUAUAUUUGUCCUCAUCUUUUUUGUUGUUAACACAACGCUUCGGCUGAUAUAACUUCCAGCCUACAUCAGGUAUCUUGGGGAAAUUUCGAACCUGGGUUCUCUUUCCUGGGGUAUUUUUUGAUGUUGUUGUUAUUAUUAUUAUUAUUAUAUUUAAAUAUUUAUUAUCAUUAUUAUUAUUAUUAUUAUUAUUAUUAUUAUUAUUAUUAUUAUUAUUAUUAUUAUUAUUCAGGUUACUGCCUGGAAUCGAACUCGGAAUCUUGGGGUUAGCAGCCUGCACUCUUAGCCAUUACGCCCACGGGCCUAUGGCGUAUUAGUUAAGAGCGCGGGCUACUAACCCCAAGAUUCCGAGUUCGAUUCCAGGCAGCGUUCUGAAUAAUAAUAAUAAUAAUAAUAAUAAUAAUAAUAAUAAUAAUAAUAUUAAUAAUAAUAAUAAUAAUAAUAAUAAUAAUAAUAAUAAUAAUAAUAAGUCCCCCGGAACACCGGGGGACUUUUAAGAGAACACCGGGGGACUUUUAAGAGAACACCGGGGGACUUUUAAGAUGUAAGAAGGAAAAUUCAGAGCUCCGAAACCUAUCCACAAACAUCGAAAACAAGGACAUCCUAUGGAGCCAAAGUUUUACUAACAAAGAAUUGGACUGUAUCCGAGUAAGUAAUACAAACUGAAAUUUAUUACUAUUUUCGAAACGAAAUGAUGUAUUUUGACUCGAUAUCAUCUCCACCUCUAACGCAACACAUGUAAACAUGCGUGAAACAUCACGAUCAUCUCCGACCCCAAACACCAUGUACAAAGGAACUACGAAGAAAUUAAAUGCCACCGAUACUAUUCAACUCAAGAAUAACAAUCGAGCGGUACGUACAUUAAACCUACAACAAAAAAUGUACGAAAAACUACACGUGCGAAAUAAUGUGACAACAGAAAUAAACGGACCGGUACCCUACGAAAAUGACGACCGUCAAAAUAAUGGGCCGGACGUUGUACCUCAUGUCCCGCAAAUAAAACCCAAAAGACGUAAAUGGACACGUGAGGAAUACAUUUCUAUCUUACACGCAUACUUCACAGCGGUACUCUACCCAAAAAAUGAAAAUACAACAACACAUACAUAUAAAAUAUGGAAGGAAAAUAAUAGAGAUUUAGACUUGGAUACAGCAAUGAACCCUAAUAAAUUAGCUAACGUACGAAGAUACAUUCUCAACACAAAAAAAAUAUCAGAAAUAGAAAUAGAACACCUAAAAGAAAACAUACACCAGGAAAAUGUAGAUAGAAGCCACACAACAAUGCCCAAUAAUAUAAACACUGAAACUGUAAAACACGAAGACAAACGCAACAUUCCCAACAAACACGAUGUAAACAACGAAGGGGAGCCUAAUGAUUAUGAUAACGCUUCUUUGAACAGAACAAAAAGUUCAACUCCGACCCCAAAAAGUUCUACCAAGAACUGGGAAAAAAUAAAAUAGAAGUCACUGCAGCACCAACGGCAGAAGAAUUGGAAGAAUUCUGGGGAGAAAUAUGGUCGGCGAACGAACCACCAAAAAAAAGGAGUAUCAAAAUAACAAACUCGGCAUCUGAACAAACUUGGACCCCCAUAACAACUGAAGAGGUCACCCAGGCACUGCAAAGACUAAGCAACUGGAAGGCACCUGGGCAUGACAAGAUCCCCAACUUCUGGUUGAAAUAUCUAACAGGAAUGCACAAAAAGCUGGCUGAAAACUUUAACAACGUACUAGCAGAGCCAGAGACAAUGCCUGAAUGGCUCACGAAGGGGAAAACCAUCUUAAUUCCCAAAUCAAAUGAAACAGAAAAAACCAGAAAACUACAGACCAAUAACCUGCCUCCCUACUAUGUUCAAGGCAUUUACUGCAGUGAUAUCACAAAGGCUGAACAAGCACCUGGACGAAAACAAACUGUUCCCAGAAGAGCAGAAAGGAUGCCGCAAAGGCUCAUAUGGCUGUAAAGAUCAACUAAUGAUUAAUAAAGCCAUAACUGAAGACAGCCACAGAAAGAAGAAAGGCCUCAGUAUGGCCUGGAUUGACUACAAAAAGGCGUUUGAUAGCAUCCCCCACACAUGGAUCCUCGAAACACUAGCCAUUAACAAAGUAGCACCAACAAUCAUAAAAUUCAAAGAGCACUCUAUGAAUAAAUGGCAAACAGUCCUACACCUCCAAACAAAAGAGGGACUCAUGAAAACCAAAGACAUCCCCAUUAGAAGAGGAAUAUUCCAGGGAGAUACGCUCUCUCCACUCCUUUUCUGCUUAGCACUGUCACCUCUAUCUGAUAUGCUAAAUAGAACUGGAUGCGGAUAUAAAUGUUACGGCAAAACGAUCAGCCACCUUUUAUAUAUGGAUGACCUAAAACUAUACGCUGCAAAUGACAAACAGCUGGAAACACUAUUAAAGACAGUUCAUGGAUUUACCAAAGAAAUAGAUAUGAAAUUUGGAUUAGAAAAAUGCGCCAAAGUAACCAUGAAAAGAGGAAAACUAGUUAAGAGUAACAACAUCACACUAGAUGAAGCAAAUGAAAUAAAAGAAUUAGACCAAAGCCAAACUUACAAAUACUUAGGAAUCCAUGAACUAGAUAAGACACAACACACACAAAUGAAAGAGAAAAUAAAAAAAGAAUAUUAUAGACGAGUUAGAUCAAUACUAAACACAGAGCUCAAUGCUAAAAACAAGAUAAUAGGUAUCAACACUUUAGCUGUCCCAGUUAUAAGUUACAGCUACAAUAUCCUUAACUGGACACGAAAUGAACUGACCAAAAUAGACAGGAAAACAAGAAAAAUAAUGACAGGAUCUAGGAUGCAUCACCCAAAAUCUGACAUAGAAAGACUAUAUAUACAACGUAUAGAAGGUGGUAGAGGCCUUAUACAGCUGGAAAACUACUAUAAAAUAACCACCAUAGGACUGCAAAAAUAUCUACUUCAGAAGGAAGGAAAACUGAUCCAGAUAGCGGCAAAACACGAGCAAAACAAAAAACUGUUCUCAGUAUUUAAGGAAGCUGACAAAUACAAACAAGAAAUCAUACCACCUAAUAAACAUGAAGAAGAAGAAGAGGAUGAAGAAACAACAAAAGCUAUAAAAAAAAUGAAAUCCAAACAAAAAAUAGAACAGCAACGAACCAUGAUAAAACGAUGGCAAGAAAAGCCCCUUCAUGGUAAAUACUGGACUAAACUAAACGCAAAAGAAAUAGACAAAGAAAAAUCCCAGCAAUGGUUGAGAAGCUCAGGACUCAAAGCAGAAACAGAGGGAUUUUUAAUUGCAGCACAAGACCAAAGCCUCCCCACCAGAAAUUACCAAAAACAUGUAAUGAAAAGAAAUAUUACAAGUAACUGCAGAAUAUGUGGAGAUGGACAAGAAACAAUAAAUCAUAUUAUCUCUAGCUGCCCAGUCCUGGCUAAGAAGGAAUAUAUUCACAGACAUGACAGAGUUGGAACUUACAUACAUUGGAAGCUAUGCCAACAUUAUGGAAUAACAACAGAAAAAAGAUGGUAUAGGCACACACCAGAAAAGGUCACAGAAAACGAGAAAGCAACCAUACUCUGGGAUAUGCCGAUACACACAGAUAGAGAAAUUAAGGCCAACAGACCAGAUAUAGUUGUCAGAGACCAUGAAGAAAAAAAAUGCUUUCUAAUUGAUGUAUCAGUACCGGCAGAUGACAACGUGUCUCUAAAAGAAAUGGAGAAACUCUCAAAAUACAAAGACCUGGAAAUAGAAGUAACUAGAAUGUGGAAUCUGAAAACAGAAACAAUUCCUAUCAUAGUAGGUGCAUUAGGCAUGAUAAAAAAAUAUUCAGACAAAUACAUAACAAAAACACCAGGACUUACAAACACAUAUAACAUACAGAAAAUUGCACUACUAGGCACUGCACACAUCCUACGCAGAACACUUUCCAUACAAUAACCAUCAGAGCAUCACAACAAAUCACAGCACAUACCCAAGGCACACAGAGCUGCGCUCGGUAGUGAAGUGAAAGCACGCUAUAAAAAUAAAAAUAAAACUACUGAAUAAUAAUAAUAAUAAUAAUAAUAACAACAACAAUAUCGAAAAAUAACCUAGGAAUGAGAAUCCAGGUUCGAAAGUUCCCCAAGACACCCGAUGAAGCCUGGAUGGUAUAUCAGCCGAAACAUUGUGUAAACAACAAACAAGAUGAAGACAAAGGUCCAUCAAAUGUAAAUACUGAAAACAGUGUACAUAAUUCCUCAUUUCUUAAACAGAACUGUAAAACAUGCUUUAUGUCAAAUGUGAGUUAAUAGUCUAGAAUAAAGAUUAAUUAGUAAAUCCAACUACGUUAGAAACUUAGCGAAUAAAAGAAGUAAAUAAGGUAGAUUACUUUACGACAUAAGGUUUAAUCCUGCAUGUUCGGCCGCUCCCACUGUCUGACGCUAAAUAUUAUGGGAAUUGGGUAUAACAUAAAAGAAUAGAAUAAAAUACUUAGAAAAAUAUUCUAAAAUAAUAAUAUUAUAAGAGAGAUUGAAGUCAAGAGGAGAUAAUAACUAGAAAUAUGGCUAUAAUCAUAAAGCUAGUUAUAAAUGAAGUUUUAAAAUGUAGAUUUUGAGCGUCGAAUGAUUAUUCAUUUAAAGGUAAUAUUGUUUAAUAAAUACUUAGUUCUUAGUAUAUAUGUAUAUAAUACUACUAUAAAUACUAUUAAAACUUCUAGUAACUAUAUUCUUCCUAAGUGUGUGGAGAUGAUUUACAAUACAUUUCAGCGUUCUAGGCGGAAAAUUGAAUUUUAAGCCGAACUGGCCAAGUGAGAUUAAAAGGUGCAUACAGUAAUAAGUUUUGUAGGUGGAGGAAAUACGAGCCUAGCAGACUACAAGUGAUGAAUGUUCAGUAUGGAACUUUAUUUGUCAGUUAAGGAUUUCUGAAUAAGAAACUGACCUAGAGAGAUUGACAGGCAGAUACAGUAAGCCAUUGGGGUACCAGUCUUAGCUUGUAUAUACCACUGAAAGUUAAGAAACUGCGGUCUUUGUCUAAACAAGAUGUUUCAUAAUCAUGUUCUGUUAAAACCACAAUAAAUAUCAGAUCGAAAUUUACUUCAUGCUAAUAGUGACUUCACAUUAUGUACAUUAUUUACAAUAGUGAAUGUCGGAUAUAUUUCAGCUUUCUAGAGCUCUGUGAAUCUCGUGAAACCGGUUGUCACACAUAAAGAACGGAGAUUAGUACAUAUCACUGAUGUUGCGUAAAGCUAGCCGGGCUGAAUAAAACUCACAUACACGUGUGUGUGUGUGUGUGUGUGCGUGCCUGUGUGCGUGAGUAUGUGUGUAUAAAUAUAUAUAUAUAAUAAUAAUAAUGAUAAUAAUUUUUUCUUGGUUACUGAAUCUAUUGAUUCCUACCAAAUUUAUGAUGCUAAUUUCACACCUGAUAUCUAAAUUUCUAUAUUACGUCUAAAUUUUGAGUAACCGAGAACCCCUAUUUUUCAUUUUUUCUCACUCACUUCUAUUACGAAAACAGUCUAAGAUAUUUUUCAGUGCCAAGAAUGGAUGGUACAACUUUAAGGUUGCCGCAAAUAUUCCAUAUGUAGUCCUUACAUUUGAUGAGUCGCAACAGUAGUUCAAUUGGUUCAUGAGUCUCAUUAAGGCUAGAGGUAUGUGCUACAAGUAUCAAAACUCUUUCAUAGCCGUUGUGCAGUUAUACAGCUUUAAGGCGAGUUUAUUUAAGUCAAUACGCAGUCUCUGUUCUUUUCGAUCACAGCAAAAGCCAACCCUUCCUAUCAGGCCACUGAAACUGAGGCUGGAACAACCGUUUUUUUUUUCUUGUAAAAUUAUGAAAACUGCAAAUGGCAAUGGGAAAAUUUGGUGUUUGACUGGAAAAAAUUUCAUUCUUGAUGUCUGGAGCUAAGCAACUCUGUCUUUACUUUUGAUAACUCCAGAUCGCACACUUAGUUAUUUAACUCCGUUUGACUUAACAAAUGUGGGAAACUAGUUGCAUCUGGAAGAUAUACUCCAUCUUUCCCUAUUUCUAUAUUACUAAGAGAAUCUUCAGAUGAACUGCUGUGUGUUGUUGCUGCUGGAACUGGGGGGGGGGGUCGGAGGUUCGAUUUAUUUCAUUAUGUGUUACUAGUUUUUUUGGGUACAUGAUGUCUUAUUUAUUUAUUUAUUAUUAUCUUUUUUGGGGGAAAACCAGCAAUCUUUAUCAAGCAAAAUUAACAAUUAUUGAAAUAAUUUUGCGGUACACAACAAACCAUGGGAACUGAGAACGCCAUAGGUUUAUUUUACCAUUCAUAAAUCUACUUAUAAUGUGCAUAUCAAAUAAUUAGUGCCUGAUCCUUCUCUUGCUCUCCUUACAGUUAAAAUGACGAAAAUUUUUUUUUCCGUUGCGCUGUUUUUGUAUAUAUUUUUUUAUAUUUCUACAUAGUGGCUGAGUUCUAUUUUCCAUAGAUUUAGCAGAAGAUUUGUGGGUGAUUUACACAAGCACGUCUAUUUGACUGUAUUUUAAUUACCAUACAAUAUCAAUGUUACAAAGUGAUAUGCAUUUGACAAAAAUUCUAGACGUGAUAGAAAAAAUCUAAUUAUAGAUUACAAAGCAGUAUACCGAAAUUAGCUAGGAACACUUAUUUUGUCUUCUGUAAUAAAAUCUUUGUUACCUAGGAUUAUGUACGUAUGCUUUUAUAUAAUUAUUAGCAUCUCCGCGUCAAGGCUUCAUGCCACCGUAUCGAACUCCAAAACAUAUAAGUACUGAUAGCGACUCAUAAAUAUGAACACCAUACACCUGCUCACAUAUGUAAACACACGCACACACACACACACAUACAUACACACACACACACACACACAUAUAUAUAUAUAUAUAUAUAUAGUAAUGUGUGUAUAUAUAUAUAUACACACACGCCUAUAUAUUUUUCUCGGGUGGCUGGUUUGUAGUUGUAUAAUUGUAUUUCUGUAUUUGUUUUUUUCUGCAUUGUGUGAAAACAUCCAGAAGUGGUGGGUAUCAGUUUUAAAAAUAUGAAAUAUAUCAUGUACCUUCCACGUCUCUGAAAUUCAUAAAUUCCGCAGAUGGGAUUUUUCCAUUUUUGUAUUAUUUUCGUGGUAUUUUAGUACGUCCUUUUAAUAUUUUAUCGUCUCAAAUUUUUAUUACGCCAAUGUAUUAUAACUUUUAAAUCUAAAAUUCACUGAGUUUUACGUAUCACAUCGAUAUUUAUCUAUUUAUAUGUAUUUUUAGAUUUAUAUAUUUGGAAUUUUUAUAUUCUUUUUAUAAAUGUUCAAGAAUAUUUGUAUAUAUCUGAUUUUGAGUGUGGUUAUUAAUUAUGUUCCUCUAGUUUCCGUUUGUAUUACCUCCAUUGAGAUUAUUAAGCGGAAUAUCUACAACUCCAGUCUGCAUUUUAUUUGCAACUAUUGUUAACACUAGCAAUCUCAAAAUAAAGCAGUCUAUUUUUAUAUAUAUAUAUAUAUAUAUAUACAUAUAUCACUAUAAAUAGGUAUGUGUGUGUGUGUGUGUGUAUUUAUGUAUAUUUUUAUGUAUGUAUAUAUGAUAUAUAUUAAUCAAGUUUUGCCUGUGAAUUUUUCGCGUAAAUUCUUAAUGAGUAUCCUUUUCUCCUAAUAUCUUCUUUCGCUAUGGUCUGAUUCUAAAUCAAUCUUCAUUCGUAUACAGUCUUCUCUCAGUGAUUGUGAUCGAUCGCUGCCUUUCAUUUGCUGUAGUUGGUAAAUGAAAUCAAGCAAUAUACCGCUGUUGAUUCAAUAGAUUAUACCUGUCCGUUGCCAAAAUGUGUGCUUGCUUAAUCUGAAGUAAUCAAUAAUAUUAAAAUAUCUGUUUAAACACAAUCUGUUAGUGGCUAUCGGUGUGUACAAAGCUUUGUUGUUCCAAGAUUGUAUGUUUGGUAAAUGCUUAGAAUAUCCAUUGAUGUUAUGUGUAAAUAAACUUGUUCUUUCAUACAUAAUUUCAAAUGAGGAAAUGAUGUAGAAUACACACAUCCAGCAAUUGUUUCCGGGUAUAACGGACUGUAUGUUAUUUCUCGCCAGCAUUAUUAUAUUAAUUCAGGAGUAAGUCUGAGCUUGAUUAAGUGAAUUCGUUUGUAAAUGCAAUUUCAAGAUGAAUGAUGCCAAUAGGCUAUGCCGAACAGAACUAUAUGAGGAGAUUAAUUGAAAUAUUUAGUAUUUUAUUGUGACCUCUUUGCAAUGUUACAGAUACCGAUGUGAUGCUGUUGCUUUGGCUGGUGGAGGUGACGGUGUAUAAAACCUAGGACAGCACUAAAUGAAGACACCUAUGAUCAAUAAUACUAAAAUCAUGAAUAUAUAGUCCCAACCAAUUCCUUUUAUUAACAAUGAAUCUCCGACCACAUUAUCUGUUGUACGAUGUUUCUUUUGCAAGAUGCAGUAUAUGAUUUAUGAGAGAUUUUCCAACAUUUUAUUGCAGGUUAUGAAGAUUUUUUAUUGUUGUGUUCUGCAAUACAUUGUUAAUUUGUGGCUGCCCUGUAUAUAUACAGAACCCAGCGAAAAUACACAUCUACUCUUAUGUGUGCUAAAAACAUUUCACUGCUAAAUAUACUUCAGUUAUGAUAAUUUGCUUAACUUUGAUGAAGACCGAGUACGACCAAAAUAUUAGUACGAAAAUAUAUGGACCUAGUUUCUUCGGCAUACAAGUCAUAGAACACAUGCCCUAAAAUAUCGUGCGAUGUUUGUUGAAAUUUAUUUCUCAACUAUAUUAAACUACAUGUAUCCAAUUGACUCUAUACUUGUAAUUCCACCACUCAUAUAUACUUUAAUUAAUGGUGUGUUUUCUAGGAUUACUAUCUUUUUAAAUUCUGUUAGCCCUGUUAUUUUCCAACAAAGUCUGGAACAAGGCCUGCAAUUUAGGGACUGGGAGUCGAUUACAUCCAUCCCACUGCUCAACCGAUACUUAACUUAUCGACCCCAGUUCUCAACUGGUAAUUAUUUUAUCGACCCUUGUGCUCAACUGGUACUUAUUUUAUCAACGUCGGCAGAAUUUGAAUUCAGAAGUAAGGGCGGACGAAAUGGUACAAC